rnacentral:lncRNA from 1 species
AUGCAACAAGUUACAUGUGAUUCGAUGAAGCCGGUCUCUCGUAAGCGUACGAGUAAAGUUGGUCCGGUCCAUUUCAAUCCAACAAUACCGCCAAAUAAAGAAAAGACUAAGGAGGGCAGGAAAUUGAACAUCAAUGCCCACAAACUUUGUUGUGUUCUACUCGAAAUAUCAUCUACGCAUGAACCUAGCUCUGAUACCACUAUUGGAGAACGUUGCAUGGGAAAUAAAAAAUUUCCUACGCACACGAAGACCUAUCAUGGUGAUGAUCAUCUACGAGAGGGAGAUCGGAUACACAUACCCUUGUAGAUCGCUAAGCGGAAGCGAUUCAGAUACACGAUUGAUGUAGUGGAACAUCUUCGCGGUCCUAAUCACGGCCGUCCCACGAUCCGCCCCGAUCUGUUCAACACACGUACAGCUCGAUGACGAUCACCGCCUUCUUGAUCCAGCAAGAGAGAUGAGAAGGUAGCUGAAUUCUCUGGCAGCACGAUGGCAUGGCGGUGAUGAUGGUGGAGCUACUCCAGCAGGGCUUCGCCAUGCCGCACCGAUCUAGCUACGAGGUGUCACGAAGUAGUGGAGGGAGAGAGGGCUGCACAAGGCACUACUAGAAAAACGGCUAUAGCUAAUAUGGACAUUAAUGGCGCACCAUGUAUGUCGUGCUCCACUAUUAUAUAACAGUGGCGCACCAGAUAUAGGUGCGCCAUUAAUGGCCAUAUUACUAAUGGCGCACGUGGUGUUCGGUGCGCCAUUACUAGUUUUGUCCUGGCCCCACACCCUUCCUAGACUUAGAAGUGGCGCACCAGGGGAAAGUGCGCCAUUACUAGUUUUAACUAGUAAUGGCGCACCACAUCCAUGGUGCGCCACUACUAACAAUUUUUUCUAGCUUUUUUCAAAACUAGUAAUGGCCCAUUCUUAGCAGGUGCGCCAUUGUAACCCUGGUUACCAAUGGCGCAUUCUUAGGAGGUGCGCCAUUGGUAACCAGAGAGCAGCUAGAUAUUUUUGACAGCCACUUCACACUAACUUUCCCCCCACUUCAUUCUCUCCACCUCUAGCAACCUAGGUUGUCUCGGCUGCCUCCUCCUCCUCACCUCAUUUGCACCAUAGAUUCACCCAAAUUAAGUGGUUAAAUUUCCUUUUUUUUUGAUAGGUAAGUAAGGGGAAAGCUUUCUUUAUGUUCUAGAUCUACUUUUUUCUCCCUCCAACGUCCACACCUUCUAUGGCCUAGAUCUAUGUAUGUUUGCGAUGUUGCAUAUGUUUGUGUUUGCAGGUACCGGUAUUUGAAAUGCGGUAGUUGCCAAUAUUUUGCCGGAAUGUUGAUUCAUUUCCGUUUCGGCAAGAAUUUGGCACUAUGCAUUCUUUUUGGUCCUAUUUUUAGGCAAAGUCGUGCCAAAAAAUUUUGGGUUCUAAAAUAUCGUUUUGCUCUACCCCGUAGGUGACCAUGGUCCACACGAUGACCGAAGGCAUCGUGAAUAGGUUUUUGAGCUCCGCGAAGGUCGUGAUGCUUCAAAAGAACGAGAAGGAGAUAAGAUGUCCGUGUCGAAGAUGCAAGCUGAAGAGCCUUAUGGAACCGGAUUCCAGACAGGUCCGGGACCACCUGCUCGUGUGUGGUUUCAUGGAUGGCUAUCGGUGGCAAGGUGAUGAAGAUGAUUCUGAAGUCGUCCAUGGGGGCCGGGCAAGAAAUUAGGAAGGGCAGCAAGACAAUAGCGCCGAGGGUGGGCAAGAAGACGAAGAAUCUCCACGACAUGAUCACGAAGUAGAUGCAGGACACAGUCAUCAUGUAGAAGAUGUCGGACAUGAUGAUGAGGAAGAUAAGGACAAAGGGCAUGAUCAUGAAGAUGAAGAUGGCGGAGCAGACGAUGAUGGACCAUCGAUGGGCUGGGUGCAGGACUCUCAUAUUCUAGAGCUGCUUCUCAAGCAGACGGGUAACGCAAGAACUGCCGCGUGAGAGAAAGCCAAGAUGGAUCAACUGGAGAUACACGCGGUUACUCCAUUGUAUGAAGGAUGCAGGCCCGAGGAUACCCGCGUGAAAGUAACGCUCAUGGCUCUGGAGAUGAAGGUUAAACACAAAAUGACCGACACAUACUUCAAUGAGAACAUGUCAUUCUGGACGAACGUCUUCCCAUGAGGAACAAGUGCCCGACCAGUUUCGAGGAGGCGAAGAAAAUCGUGUGUCCUCUGAUUUACCGCACGUGAAAUACCAUGUUUGCAUGAACGAUUGCAUCAUUUACCGGGACGAGCACGCGGAGUCUACCAUAUGUCCGGUGUGCGGCAUCACUCGAUACAAGAAGAGGAAGAAAGCUCCUCGAAAAGUGGUGUGGUACUUUCAGAUCACUCCUCGUGUGCAACGGUAUUUCGCGGACCCUAAGCAAGCAGAGCUCCUGCGUUGGCACACGGAUAGGGAGGAGAAGAAGUGAGAAGAUGACGGAAAUGAUCCAGAGAUAAAUAAAAAAACAAGAUGCUGAGUCACCCUAAGGAUGCGAGCGAGUGGCAAGUGUUGAACUUCGAACACCAAGAAUUUGGGGACGAUCCAAGGAACAUCAUGCUGGGCGCGAGCACUGAUGGAGUCAAUCCGUUUGGCAGCCAGAGAAGCACACAUAGCACCUGGCCUGUGUUUGUGUGGAUGUACAACCUUCCCCCCUGGAUGUGCAUGAAGAGGAAGUAUAUUCACAUGAGUAUGCUAAUUGAAGGGCCGAAACAACCAGGGAAUGACAUUAAUCUGUAUCUGGGGCUGCUGAAAGAGGAGCUAGACACGGUGUGGAAAACGCCAGCCAAUACGUGGGACGCUGCAGCGAAACAAUAUUUCCCUAUGAGAGCCGCACUUCUCACGAUGGUGCACGACUAUCUCGGUUACGGAUAUGGCGCGGGGCAGGUGGUCCACGGAUUUUGUGCAUGCAUUAGGUGCAUGGAUGACACAACGUAUCGCCAGCUAGGUAGAGAUCCCGGGUCUUCGAAAACCGUAUUCAUGGGACAUUGAAGGUGGCUUCGCGAUGAUGACGCAUGGAAAAAACGCAAGGAUCUGUUCGAUGGUGAAACCGAACCCCGAAGACCCCCACGUACGAGGAGUGGCGAGGAAAUGGAUUAUCUGUUGAAAAAUUGGAAAGAGUGCCCAUUGCCGGGAAAGAAGCGAAAGGCGCCAGAGCCGCUGCUGAAGGUAUGGAAAACGAGGUCUGUUUACUAGGAUUUGCCGUACCGGAAGAUCCUCCGUGUGCCUCACAGCCUUGAUUUCAUGCAUAUCACGAAGAACGUGUGCGAGAGUCUGCUUGGUACCCUGCUCAACAUGCUAGAGAGGACCAAAGAUGGGCCGAAAGCAAGGACAGACUUGCAAUCAAUGGGCAUUCAGGGAGGAGCUUCAUACGAAACGCCCUAAUGAUGAUGAUGAUGAUGAUGAUGAUGAUGAGGCGAAGGACAUGGAAAGUCGACGCAAAGGCAAAAAGGCCAAGAAGAUUGAAUAUGACUACCCUCCCGCGUGCUUCACUCUAAGUCAGAAGGAGAUCGAGCAGUUUUUCACCUGCCUCAUAGGAGUAAAACUUCCUUACGGUUACGCGGGGAAGAUAAGCAGAUACCUAGACUCAGCGAAGCACAACUUCAGCGGGAUGAAGUAUCAUGACUUUCACGUGCUGAUGACGCAGAUACUUCCAGUUGCAAUCCGUGGGAUCAUGGACGUGCACGUCCGUGAAACGCUAUUUGGCCUAUGCAACUUUUUCGACAUCAUCUCUCGGAAGUCAGUUGGCGUGAGGCAACUCAGAAGGCUACAGGAAGAAAUCGUGGUGAUACUAUGCGAGCUUGAGAUGUACUUCCCGCCCACAUUCUUCGAUGUUAUGGUGCAUCUGCUGGUCCAUAUCAUGGAGGAUAUCAUCCAACUCGGGACGACAUUCCUGCACAACAUGAUGCCGUUCGAAAGGAUGAAUGGUGUCAUCAAAGUAUACGUUCGCAACAGGGCACGUCCAGAUGGAAGCAUAGACAAGGGCUUUCUGACCAUUGGUCUACCCGUUCGAAAGGAUGAAUGGUGUCAUCAAAGUAUACCGUUGGUCUGCCCGUCAACAGGCACCUUGGCAGGCUCGCUGGAUGGGGUCACCGCGAGGGUCGCCGCGAAAUGCAUGUCGACUUCAAGGGUCGACUCGCCGACUUUGAAAGAGCAAACCGAGUCGCGCUACAACACAUAGACGUGGUCAAUCCUUUGGUGGUAGAGCACAAAUCCUUUAUUGAGAGGACGUACAAUGACCGAGGCCAAUAAAGGACGGACGGAGAUAUAAUCAAAGAGCACAACUCAUGUUUCAUGCGUUGGUUCAAGGACAAGCUUCUGUCGUACCCUUUACAUGAGGAUUCUUCCGCGGAAGAAAAACUCAUAUUCACCUUGUCACAGGGCGCCGAGCACAACCUGAUGACCUAUGAGGCGUAGGAUAUCAACGGCUACACAUUCUACACCGAGGAAAAGGACAUAAAGAGCGAUUAUCAGAACUCCGGGGUAACGAUGGAAUCCUACACCGGUAACAACAAGGACAAAUACUAUGAAAGGAUCGAGGAGAUUUGGGAGCUGAGCUACGCUGGAGAGAAGGUCCCGAUGUUCCGUGUCAGAUGGGCCAAGAGCGUCCUAAAAGAAGACCAGUAUUUCACCACCAUGGUUACACACGAAGCGAAAUUCAAGACCACGGGCGCAAAAGUCACCGCGAAAAAUGAGCCAUGGGUGCUGGCUUGCCCAGUGGACCAAUGCUUCUUCAUUACCGACCCGUCAAAGCCCAGUCGUGUUGUCGUGAUGAGAGGCAAAAGGAACAUCAUCAGAAUGGAUGGAGUCGUCAAUGAUCAAGACUUCGACAAGUACGGCGACCCGAAGAUGGAAGAUGACGACGACGACGAAGUAGCACACACCACAAGAAGAAGUAGGACCACCCUACCUAAAGGACGUCCGUCCAAGAGAAGAAUUCAAGGGGUUCCGGGGCUAAAUUAUUCAACUGCGAGAAAGAAGGGCAAGAAGAUCAUUGUGAAGAGAUAGCUAAGAUCGAAUCACAACGUGUCGGCCGCUGUGUAUGUCAGUGGCAAGCUCAAUCUUUGAUGACUAUUAUUUCAUGUCACUUGAUUUCAACCAUGUCAUCUAAUUCUAAAUCUUUGCACAAUGUGAUAUCACCUCAUAACAUGAUUUUUUGUAAGUGUCUCUCUCCGUGAACUUUAUGGAUGGGGUUAGGUGUAAACCGUUGGGCUAUUCCAUUACUUUUCGGUUAUUAAGUCAUGUGCAUGCAAUACGUCUCAGAAAAUUUAGAUAACUAGACAAUACCCCACGCGUUGUGGCAGAAACCUUGUAAAAAGUAUAUGGACAAGUGGUAGAAGACUAAAAUUAAUGCAAAAACAAGUAUAAAACUUUAUUACAUGACUUAAUUACCUGAAAAAAGUGGUACAAGACUAAAAUUCAUGCAAAAACAAAUAUAAAACUUUCUUACAUGACUUAAUUCCCUGGGAAAAAUAAUGCACGAGGUGGUAUUGUUGCAUGAAGAGAUUAAUAAAAAAGUAACUUAUAAUUCCAUCCAUGAGUUAAUAAUGUGGCAUUGUUGCAUGAAACAAGAUUACUACUUUUCAUAACAACGGCUAUUGCAUUGAUGUAACCAAGGGUUGAAAGGAGGUGAUAAAAAAGUUAUGAGUAAAACAAGUGAUAACCAAAAUUAUUAAAUGCAACUAAAAAUCCAAAAAAUAAAAAAAUAAGUUAGUAAUAGCGCACCAGGAGAAGGUGCGCCAUUGCUAUCACGGUAUUUUUGGCGCACCACUAAAAGGUGUGCCAUUGAUAUACCACUUCUUAUGGCGCACCCCUAAAUGGUGUGCCAUUGCUAACCCUCCCCCAUAGUAUCCCCUUCUUUUCCUCCCCUCACUCGUCUCUCCCCCGCAUCUCCACUCCAGCCGCACCCCUCCCUCCCUCCCAUCUCCCCUCCCUCCACCCAACGCCGGUUAGGGUUUGCUGCCAUCACCCUCGGCCACCGCCGCGGUCCCCUCGUCAGCCACCGCCGCAGGAGCUCCACCCACGGCCGCCUCCUCUUUUGUCUUCUCUGGCCGCCUCGGGAGCCCCACCACCGGCCAGCAGACUUCCACCGGUGCGGCCCCUCGUCGACCAUCGCCAACGGCCAACGGAGGAGCUUCACCGCCCCCCGGAUCCGCCUCGACCAGCAGGAUUUCCACCUCUGCCCGCAUCCGCCAUCCUCACCCCCACCUCGAGCAGCACGGUUUGAGGCUUCUGUGGUAUGUAACUCCGCGUUCCCUCCCGCCUCCCGCCCCCUUUGGUCGUCAUACCCUAGGGUUCUAGACCUCGACCGAGCAUCCGGUGUUGGAGUUGUGGCGAGGCGUCCGCUGCGCCCGGGGCCAGGCAGUUGGACGCGGCCGUGUGGUUUCCGCGGGUGGCACUAGCCAGCUGCCCGUCGGAAAAACCUGUUGCGGUCGCAAAGGCCUCGAUGCUAGUCAUCACGUCUGCCCAGCUGCAAUCAUAGAUGUGUGCAGCUGUAGUGCGCAAUAUAAAUAAAUGAUUAGACGUUUUGUGGGUUAUUGUCGCAAUGGUCAUCUUCGAAAGCAGGAAUUUUACAGUUUGCGUCCCACAUAAAUCAUCAAAAAGGGGAAAAUAUUUAUGCUCCAGAAAAGGUUUUCAUCAACCUAGUUGCGAAACGAUCAUGUCUUUUGUAUAGCAAAUUACAAAAUAUUCAGCUAUGAUUCGAGCACUGGGUCAUCAGCUCUGAAUCUCCUGUCAGGAACUUGGUGUACAACCGGCUUGUCUCAAACCAUAUUUUAUCUUUCAUUUUGUUUCAGAGAUUCCUUUCAUUGGAGGCACACCAGGAAUAAUAUGGUUUUCGAAAUGAUGAUGCAGUUUGAUCUUAGAUAUACUUAUUCCAACCCCAAGUGGUCAAAAGAAAAGAGACUCACUGCUUUAGAUUUCAGAAUACUGAAAGUGUCAGUAUAAUGCAACAAGCAGAAAAAAGGAAGCACGCUGCCAUUAGAUCAUGUGCUGCAGACAGUCCCCAUUAAGUAUAUACAUUGUGUCAUUUGUUAAUGUACAAUGCAGUGAAACAAGAUCACUUGCUGUGAGUAGAUCAUUGAGAGUAUCCAUUCUCCUAGCAGCAGCUGGAAAUACAAUGGAAGGCCGCCGCAUUUUCCCUUCAACCUUCACAAGGCAUGAGACUGGAGAUAGAAAAAUCAAAAUACCACUAACAUUAUACACCCACCUAUGCAUUCCUUCUUCAAAAAGGCGACUCCUCAACACUUGCACUUGCAGGAGUGUGAUUUGGAAAAUGACUACAGUUUGUACCGAUUUUGCACAAGUUACAACUGUUUUAUAAUUUUUACUAUACUUCUGAAGAAGGAAGGAAUUGAUAGGAACCUUGAUAACUCAGCAACUUAGCCUAAAUAAACAGUGCUAGUCUAAAUCGGAAACGAAUAAGAGCUUUCAUCUCAUAAUAGCAUUGCAGCCUCAUAACCUCAUGUCCAUAAUGGGAUACUUUUAUGCCCUAUAAUAGUAUGGUUGUCUGCGCAAUACCUGAUUUUAAUCUGCACCAGAAGUUGUGCAUAAUACUUCCUUCAUGCUUAUUAUCAAAUCAACCCUGUGAUAGUGGAAAUUGGAGAUCAAUCUGUGAGACAGACAAAAUUGUUGUUGGUUGGACUCAUCAUUAUAACUGUUUGCUUAAUUGUAUCUAUUCCGAACUCAUGAAAAUAGUGAGAUGAGAAAAGGUUACCCCUUUCUCCUGAAAUGUUGAUUAAUUUCUGUGUCGGUUGAGAAUGGGGCACUCCUAGGUCAAGAAAAUUAGAAAAGGUCAUGCCCAAUUUUCUUGACCUAGAAGGUGCCCGAUUCUCAACCGAAACAAAAGCAUAGAUAAUGCACGUUACCUCGCUACUUGGCAGCACCAAUGAUUCACCAAUUUGGGCUUGAAUGCUAUAUUAUUUUUUUGAAUUUGAACUAAUUCCCAAAGAAAUCUUCCCAUGCAAAAAAAACAUAAUCUAUUAGUUGGGCUGAUAAGGAAUGAUCAAACAUGAGCAUUCUUUUCUCUCCCUUGUUUUCUUUGAUUUUACAUGUUGCUAACUAGUUGUGGUAGUGGCUUCGAAAAGAGAAAGUGAGCUUUGCAGCUACAUGUUCUAGGCCCUUAGUGAGAUGAGCAAAGGGAUUUUGAAACUUUUGAAUUCAUGUAUGCUAGCCAAGUUUGUGCUUUGAAUCUUUUUAGAAUUAUAACUUUCAACUGAUAUGCACUGCCUUCACAUGGAAACCCCAUCUCAUCACACAAGUCAGUAAGUUACCUAAGAAUUAACAUCAAUACACCAUAUUCAUUGAAUUUAACCACUAUGAGCAACACAUAUUUUUUUAAAUUUUAUCACAAAUAAAUUUGAAAAGUUGCUGAAUAAACAUGCAAAGUAUUAUUUGUCCCUUUCAAUGUCAUGAAAUCCUAGCUCUUCUGCAUGAAAAACAUAUUUAUUUAAUUUGUUGUGUUCACUGCAAAAGCAAGAGUAGAAGUAGUAUGCUUGGCUUAUCUAAAUCUGAGAAGAAUAGAUACUACCCUGAUCUCAUCCAAUAACUCUAGUAGCCUUUUUCGUAUUUAGAGCGAACAUGGCCAACAACGAUGAGGCCGGUGGCUCGGGCAAGCCAUUCUGGGAGCUGUCCCAGGAGAUGGAGGAAGAACCUCACCGCUAUGAGGACGUCGCGGAAGACACCGAUCCCGACUACAAAACCCCCAGUGGCGUCGGGGAUGACACCACUGAUGGUACCGCCGGGGAUGCCACCACUGAUGAUGGCAGCGAACGCAUAGAUGGCAGCCAACCGAAGAGGCAACGGAAGGACCGGCGCCCGAACGUGCUCGGCACCGUCAAGGAGAAAUUUACUGAAGUGUACUCCUGUGGGCAUCCAACGGCGCCCAAAGAAUCAGUCGGUGGGUACGCGGGACAACUCGGGUGCAUUCUCCGGAGGACCAUCUCGAUCAACACCGAGAACCUAAGGCAUCAUGACCGAGGGAAUUUGCGCAACCUCCUCUUCGCGAAGCUGCACGAACGAUACAAUUUCCCCAGUAACGUCGCAAACACACGCCUCUUAGGGAAUAAAGUGAACAGUGCCGCCCUCACGAAGAUGAGCACGAUCCUAGCUACUUGGAGAGCCGCGGUGAAGAGAAGGAUUCUAAGAGGUGAUAGUUAUGAGAAGAUCAAUGAGACAAAUCCUUCGAUCAGGGAAGCUGACUACCUGGAGUUCAAGAUCAAGUGCGAGAGCAACGCAUCCGCGGAAUCAAGUCUUUGGGGGAAAGAUAUGCGGGACUUGAACUUACGGGUCCACAAACUCGGUCCCGAUGAUUACAGAGUGGCGGAACCUAAACGGGACAAGGAGGACGCGGAGCGUGCCGAGCAAGGCCUACCGCCCCUCUUCGAUAAAUACCAUGAAAAGCAGACCAGGAACUAUGUCAGGGCCCGGUAAAAGGUGGACUCGGUAAUAAAGGAGCUUACCACGGAUCCAAAGGUGAAGGAGCUUGAGCGUGUUCUGGUAAGGAAUACACCCCCGCGUAAUUAGCUCCAUAUGGUUGCAUUAUAAUUAAUGAAGCAAAAUUUCUAAAUGGUUCACGUUCCUUCGGGAGGAAACUGAAAGCAGUAGCGCGGGGUCUCAGAGCUCUCCGUCUGCCCCUUGGGACACCACUUUAAAUAGGGCGUUGAACGUAAUGAAACACAAGGAUAAGUUCUGUAAGCCGUCGUCAGCUGGUUGUGUGGCCGGUGAAGGCUUGUCCACGAAAUGGUCGGAAUACUAUAAGGCUGGGGGAAAGGAGAGAAAGACCAGCUCGGAAAGCCAGGAGCGUGAGGUUAAAGAACUCAAGGCACAAGUGGCGCGGAUUGUGGAGAUAGUCCAAGAGGAAGAGCAAGACCAACUGGGACCGACGAUUGAUACGUCUCCAUCGUAUCUACUUUUCCAAACUCUUUUGCCCUUGUUUUGGACUCUAAUUUGCAUGAUUUGAAUGGAACUAACCUAGACUACCGCUGUUUUCGGCAGAAUUGCCUUGGUGUUAUUUUUGUGCAGAAAUCAAAGUUCUCCGAACGUCUUGAAAAUUUACGGGGAGCAUUUUUGGAAAAUAUGAAAAAUAUCUGCGCCAAGUUCCACCUGAGGGGGUGGGCUGGUGGGCCACAAGCCCUGGCUCCUCCACAACCCCCCUGGUGGCGGUGGGCAUGCUUGUGGGGCCCACACGGCUCUGCCGCCCCCAACCUCAGGUCUAUAAGUUCACUUUCGUCCGAGAAAAAAUAAAAAGAGAAGUUUUCGUCGCGUUUUGAUACGGAGGUGCCGCCACCUCCUGUUCUUCAUCUGGAGCGAAGAUCUGGAGUCCGUCUUGGGCUCCGGAGAGGGGAAAUCAUCGCCAUCGUCAUCAUCAACCUUCUUCCCUCUCCAAUUCCAUGAAGCUCUUCGGCGUUCGUGAGUAAUCUAUUCGUAGGCUCGCUGGGCGGUGAUGAGUAGGAUGAGAUCUAUCAUGUAAUCGAGUUAGUUUUGAUGGGGAUUGAUCCCUAGUAUCAACUAUGUUCUGAGAUUGAUGUUGCUACUACUUUGCCAUGCUUAAUGCUUGUCACUAGGGCCCGAGUGCCAUGAUUUUAGAUCUGAAAUUAUUAUGUUGUCACCAAUAUAUGUGUGUUUUAGAUCCGAUCUUGCAACUUGUAGUUACCCACUAUGUGUUAUGAUCCGGCAACCCCGGAGUGACAAUAACCAGAACCACUCCCGGUGAUGACCAUAGUUUGAGGAGUUCAUGUGUUCACCAAGUGCUAAUGCGUUGGUCCGGUUCUUUAUUAAAAGAAGAACCUUAAUAUCCGUAGUUUCCUUUUGGACCCCGCUGCCACGGGAAGGAUGGACAUUAGAUGUCAUGCAGGUUCUUUUCCCUAAGCACGUAUGACGACACACGGAAUGCAUGCCUACAUCACAUUGACAAAUGGGAGCUAGCCACAUAUCUCUCCGUGUUAUAGCUAUUGCAUAAUGAAUAUCAUCCAAACAAAUCACCGACCCAUUGCCUGCGAGUUUGUCCUACUACUUCUGUUACUUGUCUUGCUCUACUGCUACUACUGUUGCUACUGCUAUUACUUGUCUUGCUUUGCUGUUGCUACUACUGUUGCUACUGCUGUUACUUGUCUUGCUCUGCUGUUACUGUUGCUACUACUGUCGCUUGCUACUGUUGCUACUUGCUACUGCUGUCACUACUUCUGUUCCUUGCCACUGCUAUUGCUGAUUCACUACUGCUACCUGCUACACUGUUGAUUCACCGGCUGUUGACGGGAACUGACAAUUUCCGUCAACGCGGCAACGGAGGCGCCAUUGAUACAAUCGUUAGGAAUAGUCUGCCGUCAACAGAUCGUUUCUGACACAGUUGUUAUCAUAUUACUUUGUUGUUACUACUGUGCUUGCAGAUACUAAUCUUUCAGGUGUGCUUGAAUUUGACACAUUCAGCUGCUAAUACUUGAGAGUAUACUCUCACCUCCCGACGUGCAAACUAACAAAUUGGGUCGAAUACUCUACCCUUGAAAACUGCUGCGAACCCACGCGCUGGUGGGCCGUCGACAACAUUCUUCUAGUUUCAUUACUGGGGAGUGCUAUCAGCAUUCUUCUGGUACCGUUGUAGGAGAAGGUUUGUUGUCAUAAGCAUUUGUCUAGCUAACGCUAGAGAUUGCAGGAUCUGCAUUUUUUCUGGCGCCUUUGCCAGGGAGGUAUUGCUUUAUUCUCUGAGUCACUUGGGAUUUAUAUCUGCUGAUCAUUAUGAAGAAUCUGAAGGAUCCGAAGACCAAAGUCUUGCCCUUAACUACGAGGGGAGGUAAGGAAUUGCCAUCUAGCUCUGCACUUGAUUCACCUUCAUUUAUGAGUAAGUUUGCGACUUCACCUCGUGCUAGAAAUCUUGAUUCGUCGCCUGUGCUUGAUGAUGCUUAUGAUGCUACUGCUAGAAAUGCUAUGCUUGAUACUAUGCCUGAUGAUACUAUGCUUGAUACUAUGCCUGAUGCUAUGCUUGCUACUGCUAGAGAUUCUAUGCUUGAUACUGCUUUGCCUGAUGAUGCUAGAGAUGCUAUUUUGCCUGAUGAUGUUAUGCUUGAUACUGCUAGAGAUACUCCUUUGCCUGAUGUUCCACUAGGAGUGUUCCUUGAUGCUCAUAUUGCUAGAGUUACUGCCAAUGCUCGUGAUGCUUCUGAAACUGCCAAUACUAUUGAGAUAGAACCUGCUUUUGCUCCUCCUAGAUCUAGCACUCCUAGAUAUGAAUUUCCUGAUAUACCUGAGGGUUACGUUAUGGAGGGAGAGAUAGCUGAGGAUUUUCUUGCGUCUAAGGAUGCCUAUGACGCUGAGAAAUUACUUCUCAAGUGGAAGGAAAAAUCUCGGGAAGCUAGGAUGAAAAAUGACCCGAAGUUUGCCACUUCACCUAUCUUUGUCACCGAUAAGGAUUAUGAAUUCUCUGUCGAUCCGGAGAUAAUCUCUCUAGUCGAAUCUGAUCCUUUUCACGGUUAUGAGUUUGAGACGGUCAUAGCCCAUCUUGCCAAACUAUCCGAAAUAGCCAACCUCUUCACUAAUGAGGAGAAGAUCCGCCACUACUAUAUCCUUAAGCUGUUUCCUUUCUCUCUAAAGGAUGAUGCUAAAGCCUGGUUCACCUCUCUUGCUCCUGGAUGUGUUCGUAGUACCGAGGAGAUGGUCUAUUCCUUCUGUGAGAAAUAUUUCCCUGCCCAUAAGAAGCAAGCUGCCUUGUAGGAAAUAUAAAACUUUGCUCAACUCCAAGAAGAGAGUCUUCCACAAGCUUGGGGGAGGCUCGUCCAGCUACAGAAUGCUUUGCCUGAUCACCCUCUUAAGAAGAAUGAGAUACUUGAUAUCCUCUAUAACGGACUUACCGAUGCCUCUAGAGACCAACUAGAUAGUUGUGUCGGUUGUGUUCUUAGGGAACAAACUGUAGAACAAGCUGAGACCCUACUGAAUAACGUCUUGAUCAACGAUAAUGCUUGGACUAUUCCCGAACCACCUCCUAACCAACUCCGAAGAAAAGAGGUAUUCUAUUCCUCAGUCCCGAAGAUAUGCAAGAAGCCAAGAAAUCUAUGCAAGAGAAAGGCAUUAGAUCUCAACAUGUCAAAAAUCUACCACCUAUCGAAGAGAUCCAUGGUCUCGAUAACCCGAUACAGGUAGUAGAAGUGAAUUCUCUGCGUAGGUUUGAUGAGAGUGAUAUUCCUUUUGAUAAACCUGCUAGCCUAUGCUUUGAUGAAUUUGACAACUUUGUUGCCAAACAACAGAGUUUCAAUGAUUAUGUUAGCAGACAUUUGGAACAAAGUACUCGUAUGCUUAGCCAUUUAAGUGCUUGCGUGGACAGAAAUGCCAAUGAUCUGAAGCUUUUGAGUAAACAUGCCUCUAUGAUUACUACUCAGGUAGAACAAGUACUUAAAGCUCAGAAUGACCUGCUUAAUGAAUUAAAUGACAACUUUGUCAGAGUCAUUACUAGAGGAGGCAAAAUGACUCAGGAACCUUUGUAUCCUAAAGGUCAUCCUAAGAGAAUUGAUCAAGAUUCUCAAGGAAUCAAUGCUGAUACACCACUCAUCCUAAGGAGAAGAAGAAGGAUGAUAGAAACCUGCACGCCAGUUCACCAAAUACUGUCACACCUGAAGAACCUAAUGAUAUUUCUGCGUCUGAUGCAGAAACACAAUCAGGUUAUGAACAUGAACCUGGUGACAAUAUGGAUGAGGAUGUGGAGAUUGAACCUACAGUUAAUCCUGAUAAUCCACAACCUAAGAAAUAAGACAAGAAUGACUUCACUGCUAGGAAGCAUGGUAAAGAAAGAGAGCCAUGGGUUCAGAGACCUAUGCCCUUUCCUCCUAAGUCAUCCAAGAGAAAGGAUGAUGAGGAUUUUGAGCGCUUCGUUGAGAUGAUAAGACCCGUCUUUCUGCAGAUGCGGUUAACUGAUAUGCUCAAGAUGUCUCCGUAUGCCAAGUACAUUAAAAAUAUCGUGACUAACAAAUGGAAGAUACGAGAUCUUGAGAUCUCCACCAUGCUUGCCAAUUACACUUUCAACGAUGGAACUCCUAAGAAACUUGGUGAUCCCGGAGUGCCCACUAUACCUUGCUCCAUUAAAGGAAACUACGUAAGCAUUGCCUUAUGCGACCUUGGAGCCGGUGUUAGUGUUAUGUCGCUCUCUCUUUAUCGUAGACCUGAAUUGGAUAACUUGACACCCACUGAAAUUUCUCUGCAAAUGGCCAACAAAUCAACUGCUUUCCCUAUCGGAAUUUGCGAGGAUGUGCCUGUUGUGGUUGCUAACACCACUAUCUUAACAGACUUUGUUAUCUUGGAUAUUCCCGAGGAUGAUGCCAUGGCUGUCAUCCUCGGAAGACCCUUUUUAAACACUGCAGGGGCUGUUAUAGAUUGCAACAAAUGCAAUGUCACUUUCCAUGUCAACGGUAAUGAGCACACCGUGCACUUUCCGAAGAAACAAUAGCAAGUACAUUGCAUCAAUGCUGUCGAAAUGACUUCAUCGAUUCUUAUAGGGAGCUUUGAAUGCCCUAUUCCUCGUGUCAAGAUGAAGUAUGAUUUGCUUGUUGGGGAGAUACAUAUCCCCAUUGAGGUGACUUAGUGGCUAUUCGACAAUUCUCCGUUCUCUCUUGCGAUUCGAGAAGGUUUUGUCAUGAGGACUUGAUCAAUCCCAUUGACGGAUUUCUUUCGAUGACCAUGAAAGGAUGAAUCAAAGAGUCACAUACCUCUGUUUUAAAGCUUUAAUUUUUUGUUGCUUAGAAGAAAAAUGAUAGAACUAGUUUAGCUUUUCAUGUUUUCUCCUUUAGCAUCCCAGAGAAAAAUACCUCGAAAAUAAAAGUUCUCCGAUGGUCCUGAAAAUUUAGUAUGAUUUUUUCUGGAAUUUUUUAAAAUUACUGGGCCUGAGAGCUGCUUGGGAGCUAGACCAGUGGGCCAUAAGACCUGCCACCGCCACCUACCCCCUGGUGGUGGAGUGCAAGCUUCUGGGGCCCAGAGGGACCCCCUCCACUCAUUCCAGCUCCCAGCCUCUUCUUCCACCUCCAGAAAAAAAAAUCGAAGCUCAAACCUGUGUUCUUGCUCAUUUGGCUGUGAUUUUCGAUCUCCUUGCUCAAAGCACCAUUCUCCGAACCGUUUUGGGGAAAUUACUCCUUGGUAAGUGACUCCUCGAUUGGUCCAAUUAGUUUUCGCUCUAGUGCUUUAUCCUUCGCGCAUUCUUGCUACCUUGGUGACCCUGUUCUUGAGCUAGAAAUGUUGAUUUUAGCUGGUCCCAAGUAGUUUUAGCGCGUGAUAUGGUCUCUAGGCACUAGUAGGAGUAGUUGCUACAAGUUGGGUUAAUCCUUGUUCACUUUUCUAUCAAAGUCUCUAAAAAUUUCAGAAUUUUUCAGAGCUAGAAAUGGGAAAAGAUGAAGAGGUUCUUGAGAGGCUCUUCAAGCCGUAACCACAAGGAGGAUGAGAAGAACCAGCCGAAGUACGUAGUCCCUCGAGUCACAGAAGUUCGAGCGUGCGAGUGGCCAAGUGAUGAAUUCUUGCACUCCGCCCGACUUUAUGAAGACUUUUAUUACUUGGUGGAGAACGCAGGUCUUACUGCGUUCGUUGGAGAUAAGUGCUCACAAUACCUCCUCCUCACUAAUAUUUUCGUUCAAAGCUUCAACUUUUAUCCGAGGAAGAAUCCUCCCAUGGUUGAGUUCCUGAUAUAAGAUGUCCCCCAGUGCAUGACGCUGCAGGAUUUUUGCAAUGUAUGCAAAUUACCUUAUGUUGGGGAUAUCCUUGACCCUCGUCCACGGGACUUGGAGGAUUUCAUUGGUACUAUUGUUGUUGGAGAGGAGAGAGGAGUGUCUCGCGCUAGAAUUGCUAGCAUAUAUUUUCCUGUGCUUCGGUACUUCUCAUUAUUUGUGGGAAAAUGUUUGAUUGUCCGUGGGGAGGCUGUAUCACUUAGUUCUCCAGACCUUGCGGUUUUGCGGGAAGGCCUUUAUAACGAUAAGACUUAUAGCUUGGGCGCUAUAGUAGCUCAACGGUUGAACCUGAACCGUUCUAAAGGUAUUUUCUAUGGAGGUAUCUAUGCUACCCGUCUUGCCAGACACUUUGAGAUACCCAUUAGACUGGGAGAGGAAGGAGAGAUGCUUCUCCCUAAGAAAUAUCUGGAUUAUGACAGCAUGGUUUGCCAUGAUUUUCUAGAUAGAGAUGCUAGUAGACGGAUGAUUUAUAACCUGGUAUUUAGUUAGGGUAUGCGAGAGACUAUUAAUUUCCCUGCUCCUUCUUUGUUCGAUCUUCACGCAGGCAGGUACACUAUUAUGCCCUCGGACAUCUAUGCAUAUUGGGGCUUGGCCCAACCACAGGCGCCCGUGCCCGAGCCGCCAGUCGAUUACCAGACGCCAGUUUAUCAGUGGGAGCCAAAGGAGCUCACACAGCAGUGGCAUCCAUAGUCUGCUCCGGAGUAUCUUGGAGCUGGUUAUUUCCCACCAUGGGAGUAGACCAAGCUAGGCCAAAAGCCUAAGCUUGGGGGAGUACAUGUUCUCACCGACUUUACAUUCAUGCUUAUGCUUUCACUUUGUUAGCCGGCGUUCACACUUUGCCACUGUAUUAUCCAUGCUAGUUUCUUUUUGUUUUCUUGUUUUCUUGUUUUGUGUCCUUUUGAGAAAACCCAAAAAUAUUUUUCUUACUUCUUUUGGUUGUUGGGAGCUUUCCCAUGCAAAUAGCUUUAUUUUUCUUUGUGUCAAGGUAGAAGAUAUUGGUUACAAUGUUUAGUGGUUCUUACAUGCUUACCUGUUUAACUUUCAAAGAGCCAUAUUACUUUGUCUUCAGACUGACAAGCUGGUAUGAACUCUAUCUAUUUUGUUUUUGUAAAUAUGACUAGCUUGUCAACCCAGAUUUAGCUUUGUUGUGAGAAAACCAUGUUUGCAAUAACAACUUAGAGAUCAUAGUUUCUGAUGCCAUGCUUAUUUAGCUCACAGCUUAUAAUGGUUUGUCUUGAAUGCCAACAUAUAUUUUGAGAUGACUAUGAUGUAGUAUGAUAGGAUGGUAUUCUCCUUUGAAUGUUUCAAGUGGCUUGACUUGGCGCAUGUUCAUGCAUGUAGUUGAAACAAAAUCAACAUAGCCUCUAUGAUGUUUGUGUUCAUGGUGAUUUAUAUCUUGUUCAUGCUUGCAUUCAAUGUUAGUCAAACUCAUUGCAUCUUGAUGACUGCUGUCGCUCUCUAGUUGGUCGCUUCCCAGUCUUUUGCUAGCCUUCACUUGUACUAAGCGGAAUACUGCUUGUGCAUCCACUUCCAUAAACCCAAAAGUUUUUCCAUGAGAGUCCACCAUAGCUACCUAUUUGCGGUAUCUACCUGCCGUUCCAAGUAAAUUUGCAUGUGCCACUCUCUAAACCUUCAAGAAAUAAUCUGUUUUGCAUGCCCGAACCGCUCAUGUGGUGACAGAGGGCUAUUUGUAUCUUCCAUGCUAGGAGUGUUAUCCUCGACAUGUGUUUACUCACAGUCAUUCACGAGAAAGGGGCCGGUAUUUGGGAUGCAUAGUUCCACGCUUAAAUCGAAAACAUAACUCUAAAACAAGACUCCCCCCGGAUUGAUGUUAGUAUGGACAGUACCCGAGGAUUCGGCUAGCCGUGGAGUGUGAUUGAUUGGAGGUGGGGGAGUUAAAACUUUACUUUUCUGUUUGGGAACCGCCUAUAGCAUGAGUAGCAUGGAAGAUAUUGAGAACUCUUGGUCAUUGCGUUGACAAUGAAAGCAUGCCACCCAAAAUUACUAUCUCUCUUUUCAAAGCUUGAGCUCUGGCACCUCUGCAAAUCAAUGCUUCCCUCGGCGAAGGGCUUGUCUAUUUAUUUUCCUAUCGAGUCAUCCUCCUCUUAUAAAAGCACCAAUUAGAGAGCACCUGUGUCAAUUUUAUGCUUUGCUUUUGAUUGAUAUUGAGUAUGACUAUAACUGGAUAUUUGUUGCUAUGAAUUACAAUGUUUAGUCAGCCCUUGAUCUUUGAAAGUGCUCUGCAUUUAUGUUUUGCGGUCUCAGAAAGAGCUAGCGAGAUACCACCUAUUCAUAUUGCUUCAUGCUUGUUUUGAUUGAAGUGUUGGUAUUUGAAACUCAUUAUUAUUUGCUCGUUAGCUGAUUAUGCCAUUGAUAUUAGUUUACCGAGAGACCUUUGUGUCAUUUGCUUAUGUGGUUAACUUGUGAUCUUGCUGAAAUUCUGGUUAUGAGUUAGACAUAGUUGCAACAACAAGAUCAAACAGAGUUUGUCAAAGUUUUUCUUUCUCUCUCAGUUUGUCAACUGAGUUGCUUGAGGACAAGAAGGUUUUAAGCUUGGGGGAGUUGAUACGUCUCCAUCGUAUCUACUUUUCCAAACUCUUUUGCCCUUGUUUUCGACUCUAAUUUGCAUGAUUUGAAUGGAACUAACCUGGACUGACGCUGUUUUCAGCAGAAUUGCCUUGGUGUUAUUUUUAUGCAGAAAUCAAAGUUCUCCAAACGUCCUGAAAAUUUACGGGGAGCAUUUUUGGAAAAUAUGAAAAAUAUCUGCGCCAAGUACGACCUGAGGGGGUGGGCCAGUGGGCCACAAGCCCUGGCUCCGCCACAACCCCCCAGGUGGCGGUGGGCAAGCUUGUGGGGCCCACACGGCUCUUCGGGCCCAACCUGAGGUCUAUAAGUUCACUUUCGUCCUAGAAAAACAAAAAGAGAAGUUUUCGUCGUGUUUUCGAUACGGAGGCGCCGCCACCUCCUGUUCUUCAUCUGGAGGGCAGAUCUGGAGUCCGUCUUGGGCUCCGGAGAGGGGAAAUCAUCGCCAUCGUCAUCAUCAACCGUCUUCCCUCUCCAAUUCCAUGAAGCUCUUCGUCGUUCAUGAGUAAUCUAUUCGUAGGCUCGCUGGGCGGUGAUGAGUAGGAUAAGAUCUAUCAUGUAAUCGAGUUAGUUUUGAUGGGGAUUGAUCCCUAGUAUCAACUAUGUUCUGAGAUUGAUGUUGCUACUACUUUGCCAUGCUUAAUGCUUGUCACUAGGGCCCAAGUGCCACGAUUUCAGAUCUGAAAUUAUUAUGUUGUCACCAGUAUAUGUGUGUUUUAGAUCCGAUCUUGCAAGUUGUAGUUACCCACUAUGUGUUACGAUCCGGCAACCCCGGAGUGACAAUAACCGGAGCCACUCCCGGUGAUGACCAUAGUUUGAGGACUUCAUGUGUUCACCAAGUGCUAAUGCGUUGGUCCGGUUCUUUAUUAAAAGGAGAACCUUAAUAUCCUGUAGUUUCCUUUUGGAUCCCGUUGCCACGGGAGGGAUGGACAAUAGAUGUCAUGCAAGUUUUUUUUCCCUAAGCACGUAUGAGGACACACGGAAUGCAUGCCUACAUCACAUUGACGAACGGGAGCUAGCCACAUAUCUCUCCGUGUUAUAGCUGUUGCAUGAUGAAUAUCAUCCAAACAAAUCACCGACCCAUUGCCUACGAGUUUGUCCUACUACUGUUGUUACUUGUCUUGCUCUUCUGCUGCUACUACUGUUGUUACUUGUCUUGCUCUGCUGGUGCUACUACUGUUGCUACUGCUGUUACUUGUCUUGCUCUGUUGUUACUAUUGCUACUACUGUCGCUUGCUACUGUUGCUACUUGCUACUGCUGUAACUACUGCUGUUCCUUGCCACUGCUAUUGCUCAUUACACUGCUGCUACCUGCUACACUGUUGAUUCACGGGCCGUUGACGGGAACUGACAAUUUCCGUCAACGCGGCAAUGGAGGCGCCAUUGAUAAAAUCGUUAGGAAUAGUCUGCCGUCAACAGAUCGUUUCUGACACCGUUGUUAUCAUAUUACUUUGCUAUUACUACUGUGCUUGCAGAUACUAAUCUUUCAGGUGUGGUUGAAUUUGACACAUUCAGCUGCUAAUACUUGAGAGUAUACUCUCAGCUCCCGACGUACAAACCAAGAAAUUGGGUCAAAUACUCUACCCUCGAAAACUGCUCUGAACCCACGCGCUGGUGGGCCGUCAACAACAUUCUUCUAGUUUCAUUACGGGGGAGUGCUAUCAUCAUUCUUCUGGUGCCGUUGCAGGAGAAGGUUUGUUGUCAUAAGCAUUCAUCUAGCUAACGCCAGAGAUUGCAGGAUCAACGAUCACUGCCAUUAUGCCUUCCUUACUUGAGGGGCUACGGGGGUGGAUUGCGGGCGGCCAACAGGGGCCUCCCCAGAUUCCCAGCUUCACGGGCAGCAACUCGCACAACGCGCCGACAUCGGUGUCUCCGACGGAGGCGGCAUUGCAGGUGCCUCCGGCGUCUGCGCCGGUAUUGGAGCUUAAUGCACCCGUGUGUGGGAAGAAUACACCGGCUGGCACCUCGGCAGCAAGCGGCCCCUCUGUCACUUGCACGCCCGCCGUUGGUGGUGCCUCGACAUUAGCAGAGCUCGACGCCAUCACGGUAACUAAGCCUCGGUCAAUGACUUCAUCUCCUUUCCUUUGACUGGGCAUCCCUGAUGCCCAACAUGUUUUCGCAGGGCGCCGCCAACGUUCCAUCCACUCUCCUGCACUUCGUGGACGGCGAGUUGAUUGAUGUCGCCAAGGCCAAAAUCGUUGAACCGGGCAACCACGUGUUCCACAGUAAUGCGAUGCCACCCAUCGUGUAUAGGGUUCAACUAGUUCGGGUGCUGCGGGGCUUCGACGACUUGUUACCUCCGUAUCGACCCCCUGGGGCGACGAAGAUAAUGUGAUGACCCUCAGCGCCUGCUUAAACUGGUCCAUGCUUUGUCCGAAGAGCCACAUACGUUUGGGGGCGGGGGACACCACCCCACACACAACACCGCCAGUCGUGCCGGCGCUAAGCCAUGGCAAGACCGCCGCAACGCUACCACCGUCAGCUGAUCCGGACAUGCAUAUGGCACAGGAUCAGGACGAUGACGACGGUAUAUUUUCCAACGUCGGUAAGUACAUCAACGAACAUGGGUACGAUGACGAAUUGUUGGGGCCUCCUUCUCAAGAACCCAACCCUGCAAAAGACGAUCGCGAUCUAGCUGGUACCGCGGAGAAACCCAAUUACAACAAGCGUCGUCUGUUCAGUUCUCAGGAGACGCAUCCAGCUUCCGCCUUCACCGAGACUCAAAUAGUCGAGGUGUGAAAUAUUAUCAGCCCCAACACACUCAAGAAGGUGGUCUCUGAGCAGAACUCGAUCCCAUUACAACAGAAGAAGCAGAAGGGACGGAAAAUAAAAAACAACAAGGGUGCGAGCAAGCCGACACCGAGUACGAUCCAUGCUCAGGAUGGGCCACCAAUAUCUAAGGACAUCUCGAGGAGGGUGCAUGUGGUGGGUAGGCCAAUGCUACCGACUAAUCUGCUCAAUGCUGCAGCCGGUGCUAUGCGGAGUCUGCAUGACGGUGUUCUUUAUAUGGAGAAGCGGCGUCUCUCCGAGAAUGAUCUGUCAUACCCGGUUUUCGUGGCCAAGAUGCUAGAGGGCAAGGGCUUUGUCGAUAGCACCAUCGGGCGUAUGAUCGUCCUGCAGUUUGAUGACAUCUUCGCUAUGCUUAACCUUUAUCUGCUGCACUAGACCUUCAUUCGGCUAUUUUCGCUCAGUAUGGAUAUGCGGACCAUUAGAGACAAGACCCCGGACAUCAUGAUAGUCGACCCCUUCUACAUGCGUGCCAAGAUCUUGGACAGCACUGGGGACUGGCAAGUCGCGAGUUCAUACCUCGAAGGCGUCAUUCUGGCGAACACAGAUAAGGAUAACUUCCUCGUGCCUUACUUUUCCGAGUAAGUCAUCCCCUCAUCGCCCCGUAACCUAUGAUUUCUUAGAUUUCGAUCAUUCUUUUUUUUCUAACAUUCCGUGUUUUGUGCAAUGACACACAUUGCACACUCAUCCUCUUAAGCCCAAAAUAUUCCAUGGCCACGUAUUUCGACUCGGACCGUUAGUCGAAUAAAGACAAGACAAAUAUCAAGAAAGUUCUUGAUGAUGCCCUCCCCGGCUACCCCAAAUCUGGAGGCACCUUCAGGAGGCCAAUUCGUAAGUACGGCAAGCAGGUGUUCACCCACGUAACAACAUUCCCCUGCGUCAAGCAGCCGCCUGGCAGUCAAAAGGAGGCCUACUACGCCCUCCAUCACAUGCGGGCGGUCAUACGGGACCAACAUCACCGUAUGCUACCAAAUGAUCUCGAAGAAUGGGCCGCACGCUUGUCGGCAAUCCACAACGAGGACAUCAGACAAGAAUUCUUUCGCAUCAAGUCGGAGUUUGCAGAAAUCAUCUAUCAAGAUGUCCUUCCUAGAUCGGGGCAGUUCUACCUCAACUCUCAACAGUGAAAUAGACACAAAGCUACAAACGCAAGCUGAUAACGACCUCACAUUCAUGACCAUCACAAAAGACAGCGGCUUCAUCCACGCUCCGGUCCCUGAGUCGAGUCGAAAGUAUUGAUGCUAUGUAGUUCUGAAAUAUCGAUUAGCUCGUCUUGUAAUUAAACUUUAAUGAACUUGUAUGCCUCUUUAGUUUGGACAGUCGUUCAACUUAUAUGUAAUCGAUGCUAUUUAUUAGUAGGACCAUGAAUCGUGCUAUUAAUGUGUUGCUUUUCUCUUCCGAUCCUUUUGUUGCAUACUUAUAUAUUGCUUAUAUAUUAUCUAUGAAUUGCUACUAACGUUUUGUUUGUCUAGUGCAUAGAGAUGCCAUCGUAUGUCGUGUACAAGGGUGAGGUUCCCGGAGUCUACGACAACUGGGAAGAGUGUUGGAGACAGUUUCAGCGUUUCAGCAGUAACAGUUACAAAGGGUACACCACUAGGGCAUAGUCGGAAGCUAGAUACGCGCGCUAUCUAGCGGGUGAGAGGAGGGAGCGGAGGAGGAACCGGAUGAAGAUCAGUUUCAUCGCGAUGAUGCUCAUCGUGACCGCAACCCUCUUCUAUGUGAUGGUAGUUUAGAUGUCGACUUGUAAUGUGAAGACAAACUCACUACUCGCGGUCUCGAGACUUGUAGUGUUCUAACUUUGUUCGGUAUUUUGGAUUCGGAGACUAAUAUGAUGAAUUGUAUUCGGAGACUAAUCUUAUAUUGUAUUUGAUAAAUCUGCUGUUUAUAUGUUGUGUUGUUUAUAUUCUGUGAUGUAAUAUAUUUUGUAACCUGUGCAAAUAUUAGAAAAGCAAAAAAAAUCCUAAUAUUCAUAGUAGUGGAGCACCAAAUUGCACUUUAGUGGCGCACAUGAAUAAACACACCAGUGGCGCAUUAUCUAAAAGUGCGCCAUUAGUGUCUGGGAUAGUAAUGGCGCAUCAGGUGGUGCGCCACUGUUAUGUACAUAAAUAGUGGGGCACCAGGUGUGCGCCAUUACUAUUUAUUAGUAGUGGCGUGGUAAUAGUGGCGCACCUAUAGUGCGCCAUUAAUAGCCAAAAUAGGUGCGCCACUAGCAACCUUUUUUCUAGUAGUGAGGCUUGAGGUCCAAAAACCCUAAAACCCUCCAGAAUAUAUAGGAGGAACCAAGGGGUGGUUGGCUUGCCUCCUACUCCAAGGAGGAGCUUCGGUCGAGGUAAGGAGGGAGGAGUCGUCCUCCUAUUCGGUUAGGUGGAGGACUCCUUCCUAUCUUGUCCACCUACUUUUUUUUCGUUUCCUUCUUUAUUAUUGCUUUGGCUGAAAUAGCCUUAUUGAGCUGGCCUCACCAGCCCAACAAGGGCUGGUGUGCCACCCAUGGGCCUAUUUGGUUCUCUCCCGGGUGGGUGGCCCCUCCCGGUAAACCCCGGAACCCAUUCAUCACUCCCGGUACUUUACCGGUAAUGCUCGAAAUAUUUCUGGAACCCAAAUGCACCAAUUAUAUAUAUCAAUCUUCGAUUCCGGACCAUUCUGGAGACACUCGUGACGUCCGAGAUCUCAUCCAGGAGUCCGAACAACAAUCUGUUACCAACAUCAAUAAUUCAACUACAGCAAAAACGUUAGCAAACCUUAAGUGUGUAGACCCUGCGGGUUCGAGAACUAUGUAGACACGACCGAGACACUCUCCGGUCAAUAUCCAAUAGCGGGACCUGGACGUCCAUAUUGGAUCCUAAAUAUUCUAGGAAUAUCUUAUCGGUUGAACCUCUAUGUCAAGGAUUCACACAAUCAUGUAUAUCAUUCCCUUUGUCCUUCGGUAUGUUACUUGCCUGAGAUUUAAUCGUCCGUAUCGCCAUCCCUAUUUCAAUCUCGUUACUGGCAAGUCUCCUUACUUGUUCCGUAAUACAAGAUGUCAUGGCUAGCUCUUUAGUCACAUUGCUUGCAAGGCUUGUUUGUGAUGUUGUAUUACCGAGUGGGCCCUGAGAUACCUCUCGCUCGCAUGAAGUGACAAAUCCCAGUCUUAGUCCAUGCUAACUCAACGGAUACCUUCGGAGAUGCCUGUAGAGUACCUUUAUAGUCACCUAGUAACUUUGCAACGUUUGAUACAGACAAGGCAUUCCCCCGAUGUAAGUGAGUUACAUGAUCUCAAGUUCAUAGGAAUGUAUACUCGACAUGCAGAAAACAAUAGCAACAAAAUGACACGAUCUUAUGCUACGUUUAUAGAUUGGGUCUUGUCCAUCACAUCAUUCUCCUAAUGAUGUGAUCCCGUCAUUAGGUGAAAACACUUGUCUAUGGCUAGGAAACCUUAACCAUCCUUGACAAACAGUCUAGUUAACUAGAGGCUCACUAGGGACAUUGUUUUCUCUAUAUAUCCACACAUGCAUUUGUGCUUCCAUUCAUUACAAUUAAAGCAUAGAUAAUAAAUGAUUAUCUUGAAACAGGAAAUAUAAUAAUAAUAACUAUUUUAUUAUUUCCUCCACGACAUAUUUCCAACACUAUCAAUGUAAGUCUUGACCGAAAUGGUCACUAUUUGUAUCAAACGAUAUGUAUGGAUGUAAGACUCUUCUUAUUCGGUUUCUUUGUGUUCGGUGAGCAUUGAUCUCUGGGAUCACUGAGCACUUACAUUCGGAGAUCUCGACUUACAAGUCAGUGUACCCACAUGGAGUCAGUGCGAUAUUCAUCAAUAAACUCUUGUCACUAGUCAUGUGAUUUGUACAUCCACUUUCAAGAACACAAUACGUGGUUUUGGGGUUGUCAUCGUGCAGAUGAAUUAGUAAUCCUUACCAUCUCAUAUGCUUUAGAGUGAAGAAUAUGAUAUCAAAGUCAUCAGACUUGAAUUUCGUCACAUGGUAUAGAAUUAAGACAUAAUGAGGACAUGUGAAAUGAUAAACAUUUCAUCAUGAUUAGCUUGCGUCCUUUCAAGCAAUUCUUCACGUCUCCAACAAAUUAUGUAGAUGAUGAUAUUCAUUGGGAGACCUGACCAGUAGAAGUGAUUAGUUUAAUUUCUUCACCACCCAUAUCUGAAGGGGUGGCAAAGAUUCCAUCAUCCCGCGAGCACCAUAAGAGAAUUGAGGAAUAGUGCACAUAUUCAUGUCCCUUGUUUCCCUCCAUAUGAGAACCAUUAGUGCGAGUACGAGCUGAGUUUUGACCAUAUGAGGAAUUUGAUCCUUGUGAAGACUUUUGCCACUUCAGGAAUUUAAUCUCGGGUUCAUGUUCUUAACUGGUGGUGACAUGAGGACAUUCAGCUGAUGACUUUCCAAGCUGCUUUUGGGAACACAGAUUUCCCACAAGGGUGGUCCAUUCGUGUACUUAGUUCCAACAUAUCUAGCAAAAUUUUCACCAUUCUGAUUUUUGAACAUUUUACAAUUGGAGUCAAGUGACCCAUCAGAGGAAUAUGAAGUUUCACAUGGAAAGCCAGAUAGUGUAGAUGGAUCAACAGGAAGUCCUUUUGCAGCAACCCAUGAGGUUUUGGGAUACUUCACAAGUUUCCAGUAUGAUCCAUCAGCAUUCAAUUUCCUCUCAAAUGCAAUAUCCUUUUUCCUUGGAUUUCUGUCCAGAAUCUCCUUUUCAGCAUAUCUGAAAGGGUUUGAUGCCCUUUGAGGAUUUUGUAAAUGCCCGUCACAUACAAUUCCUUGAACCCUGCAUUUUCAUAAGUGACAUUUGUGGUUUCCUUAAGUGAGGAAUUUGUAACGACAAAUACAGUUGAAGAAGUUGUAGCAAUAUAAGCAUUUGAACUUUCAGGUGAAGAAUAAUACAUUCGCGUUCGAUGCAUUUCAAGCACAGUCGAAUUAAUUCUUCUUGAGCAGUACUUAUCUGUUGAGCAAGCAAAUAAUCAUUUUCACUUCAAAGAUCAUCAUGAGAUGCCCUUAGUUUCUCAAGAUCUUGCUUUCUUUGAAGAAAUUCAUAAGAAAGCUUCUCAUGAUCAGCCAAGAGGGUGACAUGACGAUCCUCAAGACUAUCAAACCUAGACUAAAGAAUUUUGACAUCAUGAGUCAAUAUUUGAGUCCAACUCAGAACAGAUCAUCGCUUUUGUCUAGUAGUUUCUGAAGCUUUUCAAGAGCAGUUCGUUGUUUAGUGGCAAUAUUAGCAAGCUUGUAUUAACUGGAUUUUUGAUAGUCAUCAGGUUCACAGUCACUUGAGUCAGAAGAGGAAGUGUGGUUGUGUACCUUGGAACCUUUUGCCAUGAAGCAAUAGGUGAGAGCAACACUUGUAGGAAAAACCUUAUAGGUAAGAUCCUAGUAGUAGCGCUAGAAUAUGGCACGCGCUGCUGCUACUUAGCAGUAGCGUUGGAUGUGCCAAGCGCUACUAGUCAUGGCCUUAGAAGUAGCGCUUGAUAUGUACACAGCGAUACUACUAAACGUGGCCCAACGAGGCCACCAACGGUAGCAGUAGUAGCAACGCGUGCUUGGGAAAAGCGCUACUGCUAAGUAGAAUAACAGAAGUGCUCUUUGGGAAUCAACGCUACUGCUAUUGGCCCCACUUAGCAGUAGUGCUUUUCCAGAAAAAGCGCUACUGGUACGCGUGCUCCUGUGUCGGCUCCAAAAUCUCCUAACUCUCCCUCCACACCUUUCCUCUCCUAAUCUCCCCCAUGAUCUCUUGUGUCUCCACCGUCACCCGCCAAAGCCCUCCCUGCCCGUCCCUGUGCGCACCUUCGACUCCCCCUCCCCUGUAGCUCCAGUAAGCCCCAGCCCCGUCCUCCCAAUGCCUCUAUCCCUCGCGUCGGGCGCCCCCGCCCCCCCUCCCGAUGUUAUGGUGUAGGUAGAGAUCAGGAGAAUAAGAGGAGGAGGAGAAGAAGAAGAGGAUAAGAAAAGGAAAAAGAAGAGGAGGAGAAGUAGAAGAAGAGGAGGAGGAGAAGAAAAGGAAUAAGAAGAGGAGAAUAAAAAUAUUUAGAUAUUUUUUAUUUUUUUUCAUUUAAUUUCUAUUGUUAUUAGAUUAGUGCUAGAUUAUUAGGGUUAGUUGUAUCUAGAGUUAGGUUAGGGUUAGAAUAAGAAGAAGGAUGAACAAAAACAAGAAAAUAAGAAGAUAAGGAGAAGAAAAGAAGAAGAAGAAUAAGAAGUGGAGGAGAGGAGAAGAAGAGGAAAAAUAGAAGAAGUGGAGAAGUAGAAGGAGAGGAGAAGUAGAAGAAAAAGGGGAGAAGAAGAAGCGGAGAAGAAAAGAAGAAGAAGAANNNNNNNNNNNNNNNGAAGAAGAAGAAGAAGAAAAGAAAGAAGAAGAGAAAGAGGAGAAUAAUACAAUAAGAAUAGGAAAAAGGAAAAUAAGAAGAGGAGGAGAAGAAAAGAAGAAGAAGAAGGAUAAUAAGAAGAGGAGGAGAGGACAAGAAGAAGAAAAAUAGAAGAAGAGGAGGAGAGGAAGAAGAGGAGAAGUAGAAGAAAAAGAGGAGAAGAAGAAGCGCGGAAUAAAAGUAGAAGAAUAAGAAGAAGAAGAAGAAGAAGAAGAAGGAGAAGAGAAGAAAAGGAAGAAGAAGAGGAGGAGAAGAAGAAAUAGGUUAGCUAGUGUACUAGGUUAAAUCUGUUUUUUUGUCAUUUGGUUGGUAUUGGUAUUAAUUUUUAUUGCUAAGUUUGUGUUAAUUCAUCACAUAUUGUUUUGUCUUAAUUAAGUAUUCCGUUCGGUAAUGUUGUUCGUUUCUGUCAUGGUAACGCGAAUGAAAAAUAUCAUCAGUUUUGCCAGAAUGUGCGAGUGGCCUAUGUUUUCCCGGAAUGUUGAUUCAUUUCCGUUCCGGCAAAUUUCAGGCGCUCCAUAUGUCCACUUUUUAGAAAAGGCCAUGCUGAAAACUUUCGUGAAUUUCGGCAUGACUUGUGCUAGAAACUAGGGCAUAUUGACUCCCCGGGAAUUGUCGGAAAGGUGAAUGAAUCAACAUUCCGACCAAAUAUAGUCCCCCUUUUAUUAUUCAUGCUUCUUAUUAUAUAUAGAUGUUCAAUUCUUUAGAUCUAGGGUCAUGGUUGAUGUGUACGCAUUUGCAAACAUGUUCCACAAAUUAUAAGUUAAAUUACCACAUUAAAAUAGGAAAUGUCAAACGAUGAUUAUUGGGAGUCUGAAUAUUGCGACAACUAUCGGGGUUUGUGUGACAUGCCUCACUUGCGAGAUGAUAGGUUCUUUAGCAUCAAGCUUGACGAGACCUUCGAAGUUUCUAUGGUACGGAACAAUGACAAGUGUUUUUCGUAAUUAAGCAUACAUGACUUCUUUUCUUUGCUUCAACAUGUAACUUCUAUUUUGUACAAUUCGACUAGUUCCUACCUUGCCAUGGUAGAAGGUAUGUGUUGGAGAGGCUCGGUUUCGAAGACCACGAGAGUAUGGAGACGAGAAGAGCUAACCUGAGGACUAUACAUGGUCAUACAUUUCUGAUCAACAUAAUGAAUGCAGUUUAUAACACAGAAAUAGGGUGCCCAAAUUGGGAAGAUCUUUGCAAGGCAUAUGGAUUUCAGGAGGGUAUGGAAAUAAUAUUCGAACUUCAUCCUGAAGAUAAUAUGCCAAGUAACAUCAAUAUUUGGGUGGAUGUCGAUAUGCUUCCUGUUUUACCUCCAUGUAAGUUUGUCAACCAUACUUGUCAAGUAAUUUGCAUUCUAUAUUUAAAAAUUGUUGGUGUUCAUCCAUAUACUAAUUUUAUUAAAUUAUAAUUUACAACUUAUUUCAUUUCUUCUAGUGAAUUACAGAAAUUAAUUGACACGACACACUACACAUAUGGAUCACAUCUAACUUGGAAGGAGAAGGAUGUUCUUCUCUACUUUGUUGUUGGGGUCCUGGUUGGUAGGGAGAACUUCUCGUAUAAUUUUGGAACUGGCCCAAAUUAUACAUUUUACAUGCCACUAGUGCAUAGGUUGAGGGCGGAUGACAUUCACCGAAAUAUGUUGGUUAGAGUUUGCUAAUUAAGUACACUCUACUAUUGCAUAAAUGGUGUUGAUCACAUUGUUAACUAGGUUAUUGUUAUGUUCUUCAACAACAACUGCCAAAUGAUGUAGUGCCUCUAUGGAUGCAAAAAUUAAAAACCCGUUGAGGGCUGAGUUCGAUGCUACAUACUCGACUGACCUCAAAUAAAAAGGCUCCAAAUUAAAGCUUGGACAGAAAUAAAGAAGGAUCGCAAGCUACAAGUUGGAGACCGUUGGAUCUCUGUGCUUCAUCAUGGAGACAUAGGUGUUAUUCUGUUUUAUGACAUUAUACCUAGGAGCAUGGACUAGGUCUUAUCAGAGACAAGUUUUUCUGGUUUAUAUUAACUUGGCAUGAUGUAUUUCUAUUUUAUGAUGACUAUUAUGAAGUAUUUCUAUUUUAUGAGAUUCUAACUUGGUAUAUGAUUAAGAUGAUGACGAGUUGUUAAAUGAGUACGUGAAAGUGCGUUAUAUCGACUAGAGGGGGGUGAAUAGGAGAUUUAUAAAAUUUCAUCACUGAGGAAAUUCCUCACUCAUGACUAACUUACAACGGAAACAGUAAAGGAUCAGAUGUGCAAAGUUUCACAACAGCAGUUUUUCAUAGUGAAGAAUGUGAAAAUAGACUGCACUGUGAGCAGGCACGCAGAAUACAAAUGAGGAUUAACUAACGUGAGGAAUUUGGGGUUGAGGAAAUUCAGAGAAAGUCUUCAACAAAUUCUUCAAACAGUCGCAGUGAAAGUCAUCAACACAUAAUACGAGGAAAGUAAGGAGUUGAGGAAUUAGAACCCGUUUCUCAGUGAAGACAGUCGUUGAUGACCCAGUUCCAACUGUUGUGACAGUCGUANNNNNNNNNNNNNNNNNNNNNNNNNNNNNNNNNNNNNNNNNNNNNNNNNNNNNNNNNNNNNNNNNNNNNNNNNNNNUGUGACAGUCGUACAUCUGGUUUGGAGCGGCUUGGUAUUGAAACCAAAGGACACACAGUCCCGGGACACACAGUCCCUACCGUAUUCUCCUUGAGCUAAGGACACACAGUCCUUGCCCAACACUCGUGGUAAGUCUUCAGGGCAGACUUCCAAACCCUCACAAACUUGAUCACCCGGCGAUCCACAAUUGACUGCUGGAAAGCUCUAGACCAUGACGCCUAACCGUCUGGAGGAUGCACAGUCCUCAAAGGUAAAAGGCUUCAGUCCCACACAGGAACAACUUCUUAAGUGAUGCUCAAUCACUAGGUUUGGUUUGUGGUUUCGGUGUAUGGUGUAUUUCCUCACUGAUGAAUUACUCUCGAAGGCUCUGAGGAAUUGGCUUGCUCUUAUGACAAGUGUCAGUUUCUAACGGAGCAGCCAACCAGCUAGUGGUUGUGGAGGGUGGCUAUUUAUAGCCUGGGCGCAUCCCGACAUGAUUUGACACUAAUGCCCUUAAGUAAUAUAACUGUUGAAGUGGAUAAGACCAGUGACUUGGCGUGGCUAUCGAAACGGUCGGAACCCUCAACUGUGAGAGUCCUCAUGUCACUUGUAUUCCUCAUUUGAGGCUUUUGGUAGGAUUAGGCUUGGGUUGAGCAUCAUGAGGAAAUUCAUUCCAUAGUGUAACUUCGACCCCCUUUAACAGUACGGUGUUCCUAUUACUCGAAUGCGAAGAAAGUAAAACAGAAAGUGUAAAUCUUCAUGCUUCAAUUCUUCAAAGUGAUUUUCUUCAGGAACCACCGGACUUCUCAAUAUCAGUAUCUUCAUGAGGAAUAUCAAUUUCAUCGCAGAUUCCUCGCGAUUCAUUUCUUCAGCUUCAGACCAAUCACUUCAACUGAAGACAUAUAUUUUUAGGGGUCGAUAUUCUUCAAAUAUCUCAAACUCCUCAAUGACUUAUAGAUCCUGUGUACACUCACAAACACAUUAGAUACUUAACCUAUCAGUCUUCAAACCACCAAAAUCACUAAGGGGCCCUAGAUGCACUUACAAUCUCCCCCUUUUUGGUGGUUGAUGACAAUUAGGUUAAGUCUUCAACAGGGAUCAAAAAUAUGAAGUGUAAAUACUCAUUUGAGGAAUUUGAAAUCAAGAUUCAGAGAGACUCCCCAUGAAGAUGUGCAUAUCUUGAGGAUUUUGCUUUUUACAGCAAAUGCACAUUGAUGAUAUAUAUCAUGGAGAUCUCCCCCUGAGUCUUGUAAAUCAUGCAUACAUGUAACAUAUCAUAUGAAGAAUAUGAAGAUGCAUGAUGACAAAUGGUAUCUGACGAAUUCGCACGCGUGCAUUAAAACUUGAGGAAUAAGCAUGCGAAGAAAAAUGUUCAAAAAGCGUCAGAGCACCAUCGGGCUUAAGUUACAACUCAUUACAUAAAAACUUCAGAAGAGCCAAGAGUUUGUAACUUAAAUAUAGUUCAUAAGCCCCAAAAAUAUCCCGCUUGAAGACUAACUCUCAAGUUUCUCCCCCUUUGUCAUCAAGUGACAAAAAGGGACAAACUGAGGACUAGCACUCGUGAAGACUUCACUUCUUGGCGGUUGAGGAAGAGCCGUGAUGCUUCUUGGGAGUAGUCUUCUUCCUUGGACUGGUAGCUGUUCUUCAUCAGUUUCAGCAGUGAGGAAUGAAGAAAAGGAGCUGUCUUCAAGGUCUGGCACUGGAAUAGGCCUGAACUUCUUCUUGGGAGGCCACGACCAUUCAAAGUCUCGCUCAAAGUCCAUUUCUUCAAGCUCAGUAUGAGUCUUCAGAUGUGCAAGUGUAGCGCAGGUGCGAUCGAAAACCUCAUGCAGAUAGUGAUGGUUGAGCUUCACAGAGUUCUGUGUUUCAGUGAGGGUUUUCACAAUGGCACCAAACUGGCGUUUGACCCAUUUGUGGUUGCGAUCCACCUUUUGGUGAAGACUGAUGAGGAGCUCUCUGGUAUUCAUCACGCGAGGAGGAACGGGGCUUGCCGGACGAGUCUCAGUAUCAUCCCAUGAAGAAUAAGCUUCUAGCUCUCUGAAUUGGCCAUCAAGGGGCCUACUACCUUCGUCAAUCACAGAUUUGCCUUUUCCUUCAAUGGACUCGAAAGUCUUCUUGUUGACCCGGAUAGGAGGCAUAUAACCCAUAUGGUUUUGGAAAUCAGCGUGGAAGUUGAUGCCUGUCCUUGUCCUGAUGAAUCUCAUGAUCCAUGGAGCAUAUAUCUUGUGAUCAAAAGGACACAUAGCAUUGUCGGCCAAAGUCCUCAAGAAGANNNNNNNNNNNNNNNNNNNNNNNNNNNNNNNNNNNNNNNNNNNNNNNNNNNNNNNNNNNNNNNNNNNNNNNNNNNNNNNNNNNNNNNNNNNNNNNNNNNNNNNNNNNNNNNNNNNNNNNNNNNNNNNNNNNNNNNNNNNNNNNNNNNNNNNNNNNNNNNNNNNNNNNNNNNNNNNNNNNNNNNNNNNNNNNNNNNNNNNNNNNNNNNNNNNNNNNNNNNNNNNNNNNNNNNNNNNNNNNNNNNNNNNNNNNNNNNNNNNNNNNNNNNNNNNNNNNNNNNNNNNNNNNNNNNNNNNNNNNNNNNNNNGCCAAAGUCCUCAAGAAGAAAUCAUGGAUGUUGAUAGGAAUACCAUGAAUGAUGUUGAAUAGGAUAUUCUUCAUGAGGCCUACAACAUCUUCUUCAUCAUCAUGGCCUUUGAUCGGCGUGAGCACACAACAGAGGAUUCUGUAGACAGACCUGGGUGUGUACUUGAGCUCGUGGACGAGGAAGGUUGUUCUCGGAGAUUUUCCUUCAGCCAAAGGUUUCAUGAGGACUUCCAUCAUUCCAUCUGGCAGCUCACGCUCGCCAUAAAGCUUCACAUCCUCAUCUGAGGGACUUGGUACGGGUAGUUCUCUGAGGAGUUCAGUAGCAGGAGCCUUGUAGUGAGUGUUUUGUGACAUCCAGUCAAACACCCAAGUGUUAAUGUCUUCAGGGUUGCCAGAUAUGUGAAGAGUGGCAUAGAACUGAAGAAUUAACUCGUUGUUCCAGUCAGAUAUGUUGGAGCACAUUGGGAGUAAACCUGCAUCAUGGAGUACACUGAGGACUGGCUCCAGGCACGGUAUUGCUUCAAGUUCAACAUGAGGGAUAUGCCUGUGCUGGAAUAUCUUGUUUCGUCCACAUAGCACAGAGGCAUAGUAAUUCAUCUGAGUCCUAGUCGAAAACUUCAGAUGCCUCAUUUGAGGCUUGUCGUAGGGGUUCUCUCCAAUGAAGUACAUGCGUUCUUCGAAGAAAUUUUCCUUUUGAAACUUUGGACGCUUGGAGAAUGGGUGACGCUUAACUGGCUGAAGAUUUUGCUGAGGAAUAGGAGGGGAGACAACAAUAGCAGUCUCUGGGUUGAGCACGACGAAUGCAUUGUCUUGGUCAGGUGCAUUCUCCUCAGCAUUUUCCUCAGGGUGAGGAAUUUCAGCAGUUGGUACUUCAGGCUUUUGGUGAAGGGGUUCUCUUUUUGGCUUCCUUUUCAGCAGCCCUGGUUUUCUUCACGUCUGAUGCAGACGGAGUCAUCUUCUUCACCUUUGAAGCUUUUGGUGAAGGGGUUCUCUCUACAGAUUCUUCAGCUGGUAUUGAGGGACCAACUGGAACAGAGUCAUCAGACUGCUUUGAUGAAGCAGUUGGAUCAGGGGCAGUCUCAUCAGCUGGAGUUUCCAUGAUGAUUUCUUCAAUAGCUGGUUGAUCAACACGGUGCUCUCGGUGUACUUCUCAGCUUGAGGAGUUUCAUCAUCAUGAGGAGAUUCAUCUGUUGGCUCCUCAAUCAAGGGCUGAGGAGUUGGUGCUGGGGGUGCGGCCUUCUUAUUGUAGUCAUCAGCAGCACUAGUGGCCAGCUUGAUGAAAUUGCUCUUGAGGCUUUUACGAUCUGACAGCUUGGAGUACUUGUCAGUCAAUUUCUUCAGCUCUGCCUGUGUUGACACCAGUGCAUCAGGAGUCAAUUUGUGGAGAUUCUGCUUGAGGAUUUUUUUUCCUUUUUAAUCUUUGCAACUUUGGCCUGCCUGGCCUGCUGUUCUUUCCAGUUGGCUUCAUUGAUGAAAGUGGUCACCAUGUGGCUGAUGCCAGGCGGAAGCUUCCAAUCAUCAACUGGAGUGUUUGGGUCCUCAUACCAGAUGUUGAUGUAGUCAAGGAGGACCUUGGGGUCCAUUGCCAGAGGAAUGGCACUGCCUGAUGCUUGAGCUACUCUUUCCUGCUUGUUUCUAAUGAUGGCUUGCAGGGUUUUCAUCAUCAAAUUCCUCACUUCCCUCUGAUGCAGACGGGACGGUGAUGAUUUUGCUGGGGCUGGGCAGAGUUGCACGUUCAGCAGUUACCAAAGUCUUCGCAGGAGGUGUUGAAGACUUUGCCUCCGAGCUGGUUGCAGCUGGGAGUGAGGAGCUGGAGCUGGCGGUCAUAGGCUUCAUGACUUGCUUCUGUACUGGUUUCUCUUCAAGCUUUGGAGGUGGAGCUGAGGAGAUUGGUACUGAGGGCUUUGGCACUAAUGGUUUUGGUGUUGAAGGUUUUGGUGCUGAAGGUUUUGGUGUUGAAGGUUUUGGUGCUGAAGGUUUUGUGACUGAAGCCUGAGCAGACUUCUCUUGAGGCUUUGGAGCCCUUGGCUUUGAUGUCACAUACUACAUUUGAGGAACUUCUGAGCCAGAGGUUUCGGCGGAAGAGGAAGUAGCAGCAGCUGAGGCAGCAGCUGAGGAUUCAUUGAAUUUCCGCACUGCAGCUUCUGCCUGCUUUUUGAGCUUAGCCAGAUGACUUUCCUUCUCAUCUGGAUAGUCAUCAAUAGUCAUGAGGCUUGAGCGAUGUGCUACUUGAUGAUCCUCAAGUGGGGCCCUUCUGCCAGGGGGCUUCAGAGCGAAUUUCUUCGCAUAUUUGAGAGUCACAAACUUGUAUUCCUUCCAUUCCUUCGCCCAUCGGCGUUCUAUCUUCUGAAGCCGUAUCUUUCUCUUGGCCAUUAUCUCAUUUUCAUCAGGCGUGCAAUUGUCCAAGUAAAUAUCCUCAGGGAUAUCCACAGCUGUGUUUUGCUCAAGUUUCUUUCCUCCCUUCUGUUUUCUGUCUUCCUCCAUUUUCUUCAGUUGAGGAUUUUGCUAAUGAGAUUGAACUCUUGAGGAUUCUGAUGAGACUUGAAGAUUUUCUUCCAGAAACGCUGCAAAUGAGUUAAUGUGAUGAGAACCGAGAGAUUCAUCAGCUGACAUGUGUGUUCCUGUGAACAGAGUAUAGUUGCGAGGAAUUUGGAGAGGUCAUAUGCGUUCUCAGAUUUGAAGAAAAUGAAAAAGUUUGACAGUUUGAGGAAUAUAACCAGUGGUUGAGGAAUUUGCCUAAGCAUACUGUUCUUGGGUUCCAGAGUUGUAUAGAUCCGAAAAUUCGCACAAUUGAGGAAUCUCGUGAAAAUCUAAGAUGCUUAGCAUAGUUCAUCAAUGAUGUGGUGAUAGGCAGUGUUUGAGGAAUCAAGUGCUUUUCGUUUCUUGAGGAAAAACAGAUUUCACAUAGAAGAUGUAAAAAUUUAGAUCUAACUUGCUUUAAAAAUGGGAUUUAUUUACCCUGGAAGGUGCGCACGAAGAACACAGAAAGGUUUGUGUCGAGAAGCUCUUCGGUCGCGUGUCCAAUGCACCCUAACCAGGUGAUAGAGGACGUCUACGGCGUGGUUCCGGCGACGCAGAAGUCGAGGCAGUGAAGCUCUUCCUCACCGGCGACGAGACUACCAGCGAUGGCGCUAGGGUUCGGUGGUGUAUGCUGUGGCAGGAGAGCGAUGGAGCGAAGAAGAGUAUGCCGAGGGGGAUAAGGACAUAUUUAUAGCCAAAAUUUACUGUUGGCGCGAGAAUUUCGGACCAAACAGCCCCUGCCUCUAUGUCUCCGCAGGACACGUGUAGCUCCCGAACGAUGCGGUGGAGAUAGUGGAGAUCAUGGUUAUCCGAUCGUGGGAAGUGGGGUUCAGUUACUGUGUAUUAAAGAAACAAUUUUUGAAGAUUUGAGGAUUUUCAUUACAAAAUCAUCAGCUGACAAGGACGCAGUGAGGAUUUUGAACAAAGUUUCAAGUAGAACGCAUAUGAAGAAUUGAAUAGACUGGAUGAGUAUAGCAUAGAGGGAAAGUAGGGUCCGAUCACAUUCACUUAGCAGAAAUAUCAACUUGAAGAAAUAGCAAUAAGUGAAUGUUGUUGAGGACUUGAAAUCACAGUCUAUCUAGUCAAAAUGAAAGUCAUCAAGUGUUUUUGAAGAUUUUGUGAUAAAUCAUCACAAUGAAGAACAUCUGUUUUGAAGAAAAACACAUUUUGAGGGAAUAGAACAUUUGAAGAAAAUCAACUUGAGGAAUUUCGCAUUGGGCGGUGGCGUGACCCACCAUAUAAGAAUUGUUGAUUACAGACACCGAGUACAAUUGUCGUAGGGCCCUGAGAAUCAAUUUCUUCGUUAAUUUCUUCACAUUCAGAGUGACAUUCUUCAUUAGUUGAAGAAAAUCGAUUCAUCAUGUGUUGCACAUCUAAGUCAUCAACUUUGCAUAAGUGUUAGGAUGUGUGCAUGUUUUUACAAAACAUUUGAAGAUUCUAAGAUAUUUAGCUCACACCGCAACUUGCAAAACCUUUUCUCAUCCAAGGGCUUAGUGAAUAUAUCUGCCAGUUGAUUAUCAGUCUUCACAUAGUCGAUGAGGAUAUUGCCCUUGAGGACAUGGUCCCGAAGAAAAUGAUGACGAAUCUGGAUGUGCUUGGUCUUCGAGUGUUGUACUGGGUUGUAUGCAAUCUUGAUAGCACUCUCUUUGUCACAGUAGAGAGGCACAUUCUUCAUGUUGAUGCCGUAGUCCUUGAGGGUUUGCUUCAUCCAUAUCAAUUGAGCACAGCAAGAACCAGUAGCAAUGUACUCAGCUUCGGCAAUGGAGAGUGAUACGCAGUUCUGCUUCUUUGAGGACCAACAAACUAGUGAUCUUCCGAGGAAGUGGCACGUACCAGAAGUUGACUUGCGAUCCACACGGUCACCAGCAUAGUCUGAAUCAGAAUACCCUACCAGAUGAAGAUUGGAGCCCUUGGGAUACCAUAAUCCUAGUGUGUGUGUGUGAGCUAAGUAUCGAAGAAUAUGUUUCACAGCCUUAUGGUGUGAUUCCUUUGGUUUUGCUUGAAAACGUGCACACAUGCAAACACUAAGCAUUAUAUCUAGCCUAGAUGCACAUAGAUACAAUAAAGAGCCGAUCGUAGAAUGAUAUACCUGCUGAUCGAAGUCUUUACCAUUUUCAUCAGUGCCGAGGUGGCCGUUGGUAGGCAUUGGAGUCUUGGCACCUUUGCAUUCAUGCAUGUCGAAUUUCCUCAGAACAUCCUUGAGGUAUUUCUCUUGUGAUAUGAAGAUUCCAUUACUUCGUUGACGAAUUUGAAGACCUAAGAAGAAUUUCAGCUCCCCCAUCAUGGACAUCUAAUAUUCUUCACUCAUCAUGUAGGCAAAUUCAUCACUGUAUCGUUUGUCAGUACAACCAAAUAUGAUAUCAUCGACAUAUAUUUGACAUACAAAUAGCUCAUUAUCAUAGGAUUUUGUGAAAAGAGUUGGAUCGAGUGAACCAGGUCUGAAGCCUUUCUUCAUGAGGAAUUCUUUCAAUGUAUCGUACCAUGCCCGAGGGGCUUGCUUGAGACCAUAAAGAGCCUUUUUGAGUCUGAAGACUUUGUUUGGAUUCUUUGGAUCCUCANNNNNNNNNNNNNNNNNNNNNNNNNNNNNNNNNNNNNNNNNNNNNNNNNNNNNNNNNNNNNNNNNNNNNNNNNNNNNNNNNNNNNNNNNNNNNNNNNNNNNNNNNNNNNNNNNNNNNNNNNNNNNNNNNNNNNNNNNNNNNNNNNNNNNNNNNNNNNNNNNNNNNNNNNNNNNNNNNNNNNNNNNNNNNNNNNNNNNNNNNNNNNNNNNNNNNNNNNNNNNNNNNNNNNNNNNNNNNNNNNNNNNNNNNNNNNNNNNNNNNNNNNNNNNNNNNNNNNNNNNNNNNNNNNNNNNNNNNNNNNNNNNNNNNNNNNNNNNNNNNUCCUCAUCUUGCUUGUUUCGGAAAAUCCACUUGGUGCCGAUGAUGUUGUGCUUGCGAGGAUCUGGUCGUUUGACGAGCUCCCAUACGUCAUUCAGCUUGAAUUGAAGAAGUUCGUCUUGCAUAGCUUGGAUCCACUCCGGUUCCAGAAAAGCCUCAGCAACUUUUGAGGGUUAUUUGAUGGAUACAAAGGAAAAAUGCCCACAAAAGUUAACUAAGUGUGAAGCUUUUGAGAGAGUGAGAGGACCUGGUGCAUUGAUGUCGUUGAGGAUUUUGUCAAGUUCUACUUCAUUUGCAAUCCUUGGAUGAGCUGGUUGAGGAUUUUGUCUGGGCUGAGGAAGUGGUGCUGGUGCAAUUUCCUCAGGAGCAUCUUCUUGAUUUUUAUCAGUGAUGGGGAUCGUUUCUUCACCAAUUUCCUCAGUGGGGACAAUGUCUUCAGUAGGCUUGAGCUUUAUUGCUUCCUCAGGAGACAACUUAUCUGGAUCAGAAGGCAAUUGCUCUCUUUGUGAGCCAUUAGUUUCAUCGAACCGCACAUCUACAGUCUCAACAACUUUGUUGUGAUAGUUGUUGAAGACUCUGUAAGUGUGCUAGUCCUUUCCAUAACCGAGCAUAAAACCUUCAUGUGCCUUAGGUGCAAAUUUUGAGCUAUGUUGAGGAUCUCUAAUCCAGCAUUUUGCACCGAAGACUUUGAAAUAACUUACAUUGGGUUUCUUGUCAGUGAGGAGUUCAUAUGAGGUAUUCUUGAGGAAUUCUGAAGAUAUACCCUGUUGAUGAUAUGGCAUGCAGUGUUGAUUGCUUCAGGCCAAAAGCGACGAGGAGUCUGAUAUUCUUCAAGCAUAGUUCUUGCCAUUUCAACCAGAGUCCUGUUCUUCCUUUCGACGACACCAUUCUGCUGAGGAGUAUAAGGAGCAGAUAAUUCAUGAGUAAUACCAAGUUCAUCAAGAUAAUCAUCAAGACCAGUGUUUUUGAACUCAGUUCCAUUAUCACUCCUGAUAUGUUUGAUCUUGAUGCCAAAGUUCAUGGAGGCCCUUGAAGAAAAUCGUUUGAAGAUUUCCUGCACUUCAGUUUUAUACACUAUGAUAUGCACCCAAGUAUAUCUGGAAUAAUCAUCAACUAUGACGAAGCCAUAUAAUGAUGCUGCAUUGGUUAGUGUGGCAUAGUGAAUAGGUCCAAAUAAAUCCAUAUGAAGCAAUUUGAAUGGGCAUGUAGUGGUCAUGAUAGUCUUAGAGGGAUGCUUGGAUCUGGUCAUUUUCCCAGAUUCACAAGCACCGCAGAGAUGAUCCUUGAGGAAUUUGACCGAUUCGAUGUCGAUGACAUGCUUCUUCUUCGCGAGCGUGUACAAAUUCCUCAUGCCUGCAUGACCUAGUCUUCGGUGCCACAAGCAUCCUUCUGAGGUUUUUGCUAGUAAGCAAGUGAUUGGUUGAGGACCUGUAGAUNNNNNNNNNNNNNNNNNNNNNNNNNNNNNNNNNNNNNNNNNNNNNNNNNNNNNNNNNNNNNNNNNNNNNNNNNNNNNNNNNNNNNNNNNNNNNNNNNNNNNNNNNNNNNNNNNNNNNNNNNNNNNNNNNNNNNNNNNNNNNNNNNNNNNNNNNNNNNNNNNNNNNNNNNNNNNNNNNNNNNNNNNNNNNNNNNNNNNNNNNNNNNNNNNNNNNNNNNNNNNNNNNNNNNNNNNNNNNNNNNNNNNNNNNNNNNNNNNNNNNNNNNNNNNNNNNNNNNNNNNNNNNNNNNNNNNNNNNNNNNNNNNNNNNNNNNNNNNNNNNNNNNNNNNNNNNNNNNNNNNNNNNNNNNNNNNNNNNNNNNNNNNNNNNNNNNNNNNNNNNNNNNNNNNNNNNNNNNNNNNNNNNNNNNNNNNNNNNNNNNNNNNNNNNNNNNNNNNNNNNNNNNNNNNNNNNNNNNNNNNNNNNNNNNNNNNNNNNNNNNNNNNNNNNNNNNNNNNNNNNNNNNNNNNNNNNNNNNNNGGGUCACCAGUGCUGUCAUCUGUGUCUUCUUCUUCAGAUGAGGAAAUUGCUCUAGCCUUCACUGCACGUGGUCUGGAAUAGCUUGGUCCAUAUAGAUCUCUCUUUUCUUCUAGCUGGAAUUCAUGAGUAUUUAGCCUUUCAAGUAUAUUAGCUGGAUCAAGCAUCUUGUAGUCUGAUCUUUCUUGAAUCAUGAGAACUAAAGUAUCAAAUGAAGAAUCCAACGAUCUCAACAGUUUCUUCACAACUUCGUGAUGGGUGAUGUCUCGAGCUCCCAGUGCUUGCAGUUCAUUUGAUAUGUCAGUGAGGCGAUCAAUGGUGUCUUGGUAGCUUUCAUCGUCAUGUCUCUUGAAUCGAUCGAAGAGAUUGCGAAGAAUAUCAACACGAGAGUCACGCUGGGUUGAUACUCCUUCAUUUACCUUGCACAAUCUCUCCCAGAUCAGUGUUGCAGAGCCCAACGCACUUACUCUUCCAAACCGGUCUGGGCUCAGAUGGCCACAGAUGAUGUUCUUCGCUUGAGAAUCGAGUUGCUUGAAUUUCUUCACAUCAGCCGCAGUGACACUAGCAGAGAUGAUGGGGACGCCAGGUUUCACAAUAUACCAGAGAUCAUUAUCAAUAGCUUGUAGAUGCAUUAGCAUUUUGUUCUUCCAGAAGGGAAAGUUCUUUCCUUCGUAGGUAGGACAUGCUGCAGUCACCUUAAACAUGCCUGCGGUCGACAUAACUAAAACUCCAGGUGGUUAAACCAAAAUCACACAGAACAAGGGAGUACCUUGCUCAGAUACCAAUUGAAAGUGCGUUAUAUCGACUAGAGGGGGGGUAAAUAGGAGAUUUUUAGAAUUUCAUCACUGAGGAAAUUCCUUUUGAGGAAUUUCCUCACUGAUGACUAACUUACAACGGAAACAGUAAAGGAUCAGAUGUGCAAAGUUUCACAACAGUAGUUUUUCAGAGUGAAGAAUGUGAAAACAGAUUGCACUGUGAGCAGGCACGUAGAAUACAGAUGAGGAUUAACUAACGUGAGGAAUUUGAGGUUGAGGAAAUUCAGAGAAAGUCUUCAACAAAUUCUUCAAACAGUCGCAGUGGAAGUCAUCAACACAUAAUACAAGGAAAGUAAGGAGUUGAGGAAUUAGAACCCGUUUCUCAGUGAAGACAUUCGUUGAUGACGCAGUUCCAACUACUGUGGCAGUCGUACAUCUGGUUUGGAGCGUCUUGGUAUUGAAACCAAAGGACACACAGUCCCGGGACACACAGUCCCUACCGUAUUCUCCUUGAGCUAAGGACACACAGUCCUCUUCCAACACUCGUGGUAAGUUUUCAGGGCUGACUUCCAAACCCUCACAAACUUGGUCACCCGGCGAUCCACAAUUGACUGCUGGAAAGCUCUAGACCAUGACGCCUAACCGUCUGGAGGAUGCACAGUCCUCAAAGGUAAAAGGCUUCAGUCCCACACAGGAACAACUUCUUAAGUGAUGCUCAAUCACUAGGUUUGGUUUGUGGUUUCGGUGUAUGGUGUAUUUCCUCACUGAUGAAUUACUCUCGAAGGCUUUGAGGAAUUGGGUUGCUCUUAUGACAAGUGUCAGUUUCUAACGGGGCAGCCAACCAGCUAGUGGUUGUGGGGGAUGGCUAUUUAUAGCCUGGGGGCAUCCCGACAUGAUUUGACACUAAUGCCCUUAAGUAAUAUGACCGUUGGAGUGGAUAAGACUAGUGACUUGGCGUGGCUAUCGAAACGGUCGGAACCCAGAGUCCUCAUGUCACUCGUAUUCCUCAUUUGAGGCUUUUUGUAGGAUUAGGAUUGGGUUGGGCAUCAUGAGGAAAUUCAUUCCAUAGUGUAACUUCGACCCCCUUUAACUAUACGGUGUUCCUAUUACUCGAAUGCGAAGAGAGUAAAACAGAAAGUGUAAAUCUUCAUGCUUCAAUUCUUCAGAGUGAUUUUCUUCAUGAACCACCGGACUUCUCAAUAUCAGUAUCUUCAUGAGGAAUAUCAAUUUCAUCGCAGAUUCCUCGCGAUUCAUUUCUUCAGCUUCAGACCAAUCUCUUCAGCUGAAGACAUAUAUUUUUAGGGGUCGACAUUCUUCAAAUAUCUCGAACUCCUCAAUGACUUAUAGAUCGUGUGUACACUCACAAACACAUUAGAUACUUAACCUAUAAGUCUUCAAACCACCAAAAUCACUAAGGGGCACUAGAUGCACUUACAGUACGUAAUAUGAUGAUGAGUUAUAUGACAUGAUAUUUGUGCCAUGACUUGUGUGUAUUGCUAUUUUCGAGAUUUGAUGAUAUUUGUGUUGGAUAACGAUAUAUGUGUUGGAUAAUAAUGAUGAUGGUAUAAAUGAUGAGACUACUUUAUGUGUAUGAUAUGAUGAGAAUGAUUCAUGUUUAUUAUGAUACGAUGAAACUACUAUUUCGAGCAUGCACAAAUACAUAUAGGGGGCAUAAAUACGACGUGAAUUAAAUAAUAAAAGCAUGAAUAUUAGUAGUAGUGCUGGAAUAUUAGGAGUAGCAUCGACCUAGGAGUAGUGCUUUACGUAAUCCAACGCUACUGCUAAUGUAGAUACGAGUAGCGCUUUAAUCCAGUAGUAAUGCUAAUAGGUUAGUUGUAGCGCGUUAGCAGUACCGCUGCCCCCAUCGCUACAGCUAAGGGUAAAACCAGCGCUACUGGUAGGAUUUCUCCUAGUAGUUCAAAGUCAUCGUCCCAGUCAUUAGUGUUGUUAAUGUUGUCAUUUUCUUCAAGGUCAAAUAUGGACUUGUUGACGAAUGUGGUAGCAACGGCUAAGCUUGCCACACUAGACUCUAAAUCCUCUUUAGAUCCUUCCUCUUCAUCACAUUCUUCCUCAGAAUCCAUUUCCUUGCCAAUAAGACCCCGAGCCUUUCUGGAACUGUUCUUCUUGUGCGAUGAGGACUUUGAAUAUUAGGACUUUUUUAGAUUUCUUCUUUUUCUUUGAGUCAUCAAAACUGCCAUCCUUUUAUUUCUUCUUCUAUGAUUACUUCACCCAGCGAGGACAGUGAGCAAUAUAGUGGCCAAAUUUCUUGCAUUUAUGGCAGGUUCUGUUCUUGUAGUCCUCAUAUGAACAUUCUGAUUUCCUCAUAUCUCUUCUUUAAGACUUUACGAACUGGCCUUGUCUCGAGAACUUCUGGAAUUUCCUCACGAGCAUAGAAAGUUCUUGAUGAAGUUCCUCGGGAUCGCCAAGGCUGCAAUCAGAGUCUUCUUCUUCAAAUGAGGAAACAACCUUUGCCUUCAGCGCACAAGGUCUUCGAUAGCUUUAUCCAUAGAGGUAUCUUUUUUAGCUUGUUGGAAUUUGUGAGUAUUGAGUCUCUCAAGAAUAUUAGCAGGAUCUAGAGCCUUGUAGUCUCUUCGUUCUUGAAUCAUCAGAACCAAUGUAACAAAUGAAGAAUCAAGAGAUCUCACCAAUUUCUUCACCACCUCAUGAUCAGUGAUGUCUCUCGCUCCUAGAGCCUGUAGCUCAUUGGAGAUAUCAGUGAGGCAAUCGAAGGUUUGCUAGCAGCUUUCACUAUCGAGUAUUUUGAAGUGGUUGAAGAGAUUGCGAAGAACAUCAACUCGAGUCACGUUGAGUAGACACUCCUUCAUUGACCUUGGAUAACCUUUCCCAAACCUGCUUUGUAAAGCCCAAAGAUCUCACUCUGCCAUACUGACCUUUGCUCACAUGGCCACAGAUGAUAUUCUUCGCUUGAGAGUCGAGUUUCCUGAAUCUCUUCACAUCAGCAACAUUGAUUGUUUCAGACACAAUGGGAACACAUUUUUCCACAAUUUACCAAAGACCGUUGUCAAUUGCUUCAAUGUGAAUGCACAUCUUGUUCUUCCAGUAGGGGUAGUCCGUCCCUUCAAAGGCAGGACAACCCGUAGUGACCUCAAUCAUACCUAUGAUCGACAUAACUAAAACUCCACGUGGUUAAACCAAAAUCACACAGAACAAGGGAGUAACUUUUUCUGAUACCAUUCAAAAGUGUGUUAUAUCGACUAGAGGGGGGUGUAUAGGUGAUUUUUAUGAAUUAAUCAUGAAGGAAAUUCUUUCUAAGGAAAGUCAUCGGCCACGAGCAGUGAGGAGCGGAUUAAGUACUCACACAAGUGUGCACAAGAAUGACAACAUAGUCUUUAGUGUGAAACGAAACAUUCGGUUUUCACAAGUAGCGUGUUCACGAUAUGCAGGUGAAGAAUAAGUGAAAUGAAGAAUUUGUGGUGAGGAAAUUGCGAAAGUCUUUAGUCAAAUUCUUCUAACAGUAACGAUCAAUUUCACCAAUGUGCAAGUGAGGAAAUGAAAGGGUUGAGGAAAUAGAACCAGGUGCUCGAUGAAGAUAGUGGUUUGAUGACCGAGUUCCAGCUGUUGUGAUAGUCGUACUUCUGGUUUGGAGCGGCUUGGUAUUUAAACCAAAGGACACACAGUACUUACCGUAUUCUCCUUGAGCUAAGGACACACAGUCCUCGCCCAAUACUCGUGGUAACUCUUUAGGGAAGUCUUACAAACCGUCACAAACUUGGUCACCGAACGAUCCACAAUUUACUGCUGGAUGGUCUAGACCAUGACGCCUAACCAUCUGGAGGAUGCACAGUCCUCAAAGGUAACAUGCGUCAGUUCCACAUAAGAACAAUCUCUUUAGUGAUGCUCAAUCACUUUGGGGUUUUUGGGUUUUGGUUUGGGUGUUUUGGGUUUUUCCUCACUGAUCAUUUUCUCUCAAAGUCUUCGAGGAAUGGGUUGCUCUCAAAUGACAAGUCUGAGUUUCUCUCGCGGAGCAGCUAACCCGCUAGUGGUUAUGGGGGGCUAUUUACAGCCUCAGAGCAGUCCCGACAUGAUUUGACAUAAAUGCCCCAAUGAUAUGAACGUUAUCUGGAUAAGGUUGGGGACAGCUGGCGCGCGGCGCUGCAACGGUCGGAACAUUUCAACUGUGAAAGUCCUGAUGUCACUCAUGUUCCUCACUGGUAGGUAAUUGGCACUAGCAAAAACCUAACUCCUCAGUUAGAGAAAAUUCCUCACAGACCAACAGAUAUUCGUCUAUGUCACUGAAGAAUUUGACUAAACAGUAAAAUAUUUCCAAAGUCUUCACUCGAAGGAUUUGUAUGAGUAGGCUUUGAGAUGAACAUCACUUUAAAAUUUUCCAUUAGUUUUACCUCAACCCUCUUUUAUAGUGCGGCGGUCCGAUGACUCAAAGACAGGAAAUGAAACUAUGAAAACAAAAGUCUUCACGCUUCAAAGUCCUUGUAUCAAUUUCAUCACGGACACACCAGUUUCCCCACUUUCAAAGUCUUUGAGGAAAUACCAAAGUCUUCAGCCGAAGACAUACAUUUUUAGGGGUUGAUAUUCUUCGAAUAACUGAAACUCGUGAGCGACAUAUAGAGCCUAUGUACACUCACAAUAACAUUAGUAUCUUAACCUAUAAAUCUUCAAUACACCAAAAUCACUAAGGGGCACUAGAUGCACUUACAUCACCUUCUGUUCGAAAUAUUUACCAUUUUUGUCAAUGCAGAGGUGGUCAUUGGUAGGCAUUGGAAUUUUUACACCUUUGUACUCUUGCAUGUUGAAUUUCAUCAGGACAUCCUCGAGGUAUUUCUCUUGGGAGAUUAAGAUGCCAUUGCAUUAUUGAUGAAUUUGUAGUCCUAGGAAGAAUUUAAACUCCCCCAUCAAGGACAUUUGAUAUUAUUCACCCAUCAUGUAGGGAAAUUCGUCACUGUAACGUUUGUCACUCUAACCAAAGAUAAUAUUAUCUACAUAUAUUUUUCACACAAAUAGUUCAUUCUCAUAGGAUUUUGUGAAAAGAUUUGGAUCAAGUGAACCGGCUUUGAAGCCUUUCUUCAUGAGUAAUUCCUUCAAUGUGUCAUACCACGCCCGAGGGGUUUACUUGAGGCCAUAAAGAGCCUUGUUGAAUCUGAAGACUUUGUCAGGAUGCUUUCAGUUUUCAAAACCUAGGGGCUGAGCAACAUAUACUUCUCCCGCAAGCUUACCAUUGAGGAACACACUUUUCACAUCCAUUUCAUAUAACGUGAUAUUGUGAUGGUUAGCAUAAGGGAGCAAUAUACGAAUAGCUUCAAGUCUAGCAACAUGUGCAAAAGUUUCAUCAAAGUCAUUUCCUUCAACUUGUGUGUAGCCUUAUGCUACAAGUCAUGCCUUGUUCCUCACUACCUGACCAUCUUCGUGUUGCUUGUUUCCGUAGAUCCACUUGGCACUGAUGAUAUUGUGCUUGCAAGGAUCAGAACACUUGAAAAGUUCCGACACAUUGUUAAACUUUAAUUGAUGAAGUUCUUCUUGCAUUGCUGGAAUCCACUCAGGUUCCAUGAAGGCUUCAUCAACUUUUGAGGGUUCUGUGAUAAAAACAAAGGAAGAGUGCCCACGAAAGUUAAUUAAAUGUGAUGAUUUUGAGCGAGUGAGGAGACCUGGUGCAUUGAUGUCAUCGAGGAUUUUGUCAGUUUGCACUUCAUUUGCAAUCCUUGGAUGCGCAAGUUGAAGACUUUGAUCAGGUUGAGGAAUUUGAUCACGAACAAUUUCCUGAGUCGCACCAUCCCGAAUUUCUUCAUUGUUUGGGAUGACUUCUUCAACACGCAGUUAUUCUUCAGUGGGAAUGAGAUCUUCAGUAGCCUUGAGCCUAAUAGAUUCCUCGUGAGGCAUUUCAUUGAGAACAGGAGACAGGUGCUCUCUUUGCGAGCCAUUAGUUUCAUCGAACCGCAUAUCUAAAGUUUCAAGAACUUUAUUAUGAUAGUUGUUGAAGACUCUGUAGGUAUGCGAGUCCUUUCCGUAACCAAGCGUAAAACCCUCAUGUGAUUUCGGUGCAAAUUUUGAACUAUGGUGAGGAUCUCUAAUCCAAUAUCUUGCACUAAAGACUUUGAAAUAACUUACGUUGGGUUUCUUCUCAGUCAGAUGUUGAUAUGAGGUCUUCUUGAGGAAUUUGUGAAGAUAUACCCUGUUGAUGAUGUGGCAGGCAGUGUUGAUUGCAUCAGGCCAGAAGCAACGUGGAGUCUGAUAUUCUUCAAGCAUAGUGUGAGCCAUCUCAAUAAGAGUCAUGUUCUUGUGCUCUACGACACCAUUCUGUUGAGGAGUAUAAGGGGUAGAUAGCUCAUGAGUAAUAUUAAGUUCAUCAAGAUAGUCAUCAAGACCAGUGUUCUUGAACUCUGUCCCAUUGUCACUCCUGAUAUGCUUCAUCUUGAUGCUGAAGUUUGUCGAGUCCCUCAAGGAAAAUAGUUUGAAGACUUCCUGCACUUUAGUUUUGUUCACCAUAAUAUGCAUCCAAGUGUAACGUGAAUAAUCAUCAAGAGUGACAAAGCCAUAUAGAGAAGCUGCAUUGGUUAGAGUAGCAUAAAGACUAGGUCCAAAGAGAUCCUUGUGAAGCAAUUCAAAAGGAUAGGUAGUGGUCAUGAUAGUCUUUGAGGGGUGCUUGGAUCUGGUCUUCUUUACAGACUCACAAACCCCACACAGAUGAUCCUUGAGGCAUUUGACACUUUCGAUGCCAAUGACAUGCUUCAUCUCCUCCACUCUGUGCAGAUUCCUCACACCUGCAUGAACAAGUCGUUGAUGCCAGAGCCAGCCCUCUGAGGCUUUUGCAAGUAGACACAUGGUGGGCUAUGCACCUGUGGAGAAAUCAACAACGUACAAGUCUCCUCUCCUAAAGCCUUCGAAGACUUUGGAUUUGUCAGAUUCCAUGAUGACUAUGCAACGAUAUUUGCCAAAGAUGACAAUCAUAUCAAGAUCACAAAGCACUGAGACAGACAUGAGGUUAAACCCAAGGGAUUCUACAAGCAUGACUUCAUCCAUGUGCCGGUCCUUGGAUAUAGCCACCUUACCAAGGCCAAUACCUUUCUUUUUUCCUUUGUCUACGCAGGUGAUAUGCUUGAGUGCUGAUGGAGUUAAUGGAAUGUUCAUCAAUAUACUAUUGUCACCAUUCAUGUGAUUUGUACUUCCACUGUCAAGAACCCACUCAGUGGUUUUGGGGUUGUCAUCCUGCACAUGAAUUAGUACUACUUACCAUCUCAUAUGCUUUAGAGUGAAGAAUAUGAUAUCAAAUUCAUCAGACUUGAAUUUCAUCACAUACAGUAGAGUAAAGAUAAUAUGAGGACAUGUGAAAUGAUAAUCAUUUUAUCAUGAUUAGCAUGUGUCCUAUCAAGCAUUUCCUCGGGUCUCCAAAAAAUUAUUUAGAGGAUCAAGUUCAUCUGGAGACCUGACAUGCAUAAGAGGUUAGUUCAAUUUCUUCUCCACAUAUAUUUGAAGGGGUGGUAAAGAGUUCAUUAUCAUGUGAGCACCAUAAGAGAAAUUUGGCAUUCAAGCCAAUACACUUAGUUUCAAAGGAGGGGGGAUUAGUGUACUCGAAUGAAUAUGCAGAGAAAUUCUUCGAGGACUUAUGAACAUAGCAAUUUGAGGAAUAAUGCACAUAUUCAUGUUCCUUGUAAUUUCCCUGCAUAUUAGAAGCAUUAGCACGAGCAUGAGCAGAAUUUUGACCAUAUGAGGAAUUUGAUCCUCGUGAAGACUUUGGUCCACUUGAGGAACUUGAACUGGGGUUCCUGUUCUUCACGAGUGGUUUCAUGAGGACAUUCACCUAAAGACUUUCCAAGCUUCUUUUGGGAACCCAUAUUUUCCUCAAGGGUGGUCCAUUCGUGCAGUUAGUUCCAACAUAUCAAGAAAAUACUUAACCAUUCUGAUUUUUUGAAUAGUUUAUUGUUGGAGUCGAAUGACUCAUUAAAGGAAUAUGAAGUUUCACAUGCAAAGCCUGACAAUGUAGAUGGAUCGACAUGAGGUCCUUUUGCAGCAAACCAUGAGGUUUUGGGGAACUACCCAGGUUUCUAGUAUGAUCCAUCAACAUUUAAUUUCCUCUCAAAUGUAAUACCCUCUUGUCACAUCCCUGGAUCCCUAACUAGGGUUUAGUAUUUGUGCUCAUGUUUUCUUCCAUUGCAUUCAAGAAAUUGAAACGAACUCCAAAGAAGUGGUUAAACUCAAACCAAAAAACCCUAGCCACUUCUUAAUCAAAGGACAUUCAUAUCUUGUCAAAAUCAAUGAACCCAAAAUGGCCUUCUUAAAAGUUCAAUAUUUCUGAUAAAUAUUGAAAACAAAUUAUCAAGGGAGAAAACUGUUUUCAAAUCACUUUUGGCAUUUUAUUUUGAACUAGCAAGUCUCUGAAUUCAAACUUAUAUUUGAAUUCAAAAAUAUAUAGUUUUCAAAAAUACUGAAAACUUUAUGGGUGAUUGGAAAUAUUCCAACUAACACCCCAACAUUUUUCAAACUAUUUUUAGUUUUCUUUUUGAAGCCAAAAUAAAUAGAAAUCAAUGUCAGCAAAUAAAACAGAAACAGAAAAAUGGAAAAAUGCUAUCCUAUGCUUACCUGAAGCCCAGCCCACCUUACCUGUCGUCUUCCUCCCUACCAGUCGGAGUAGGAGGUGGCCGCCGCUCGAUCCGGCACGCCCACACAGCUGGGUGCUUGCCUGGCCGCCGCGUCGCGCUGGCGAGGUCGGGGAUAAGCUCCCCGAGGCAUGCCCGAGCUCAUCCGCUCCCCAUUCUCCCCCAUGUACCUCUCCUCUCGGCCGCCAUUGGAGCCCGAGCAGAGCUCGAGCUCGCCGUCACUCUCACCUGCCUCCUUCCCUCCCGAGCCGCGCAGAAGUACCGCCAGGGUCCCCUGAAGCUUCCAAGCCAUGAGCUCGACGCCGAGACGUAGUGAAUCACCGAGAAGCCGUCGUCUUCCUCCUCGGAUCGCCGACGUUCAUCCCCGUCGUUCUUCCUCCUCAGGCCUGUCCCGAUCCUACUUUAAACGCCACUGCACUCCUCGUGAGCUCAGGAUCCUUUUCCCCCUAUUUCCCCUCUCGAUCCCGAGCCCUAGCACCUGAUUCCACCGGAGCCCGACGAUGACCGCUGUGGUAGCUCGUCGCCGAUGGCUCUCCGGUGAUCAGCUCGUUGAUCUGAGGCUUGCAAACGCUUCAGCACGUUGUGUAGAUGCCGUAGGAGCCUAGCCCCGCGCGUGAAGCCCCCUGUUUCGAUGACCCCGAUGACACCCGAGCUUCGACCGCCGGCAAGCUCGUCGCCGACGUCAUCUCCGGCCAGAUCAGCCCCGGUUCUAUGCAGAAAUGGAACAGCGGGUGAACGCUGGUCAGUCUGGUGCCCGCUGUCGUGCAAAUGGUCGUCGGAAUGAGAUUUCCGAGCCCCUCCGCCGUUCUGGUAGUCCCCCGAGGCUCACCGCCGGCGAGGACGACCUCGCCGCCGGUGGAUCUGCCCCGUGAGUCUCUGACAGGUGGGGCCAGCCUCUGGUUAAUUAAGAUUAGGAUUAGUAAAAAUAAUUAAUUAAAUAAAAACAUAAACAGUCACUCACAUGUGGGUCCAGCCCUGAUAAUUAAUCUAUUAAGAGAAAUUUAAACUAAAAUCUGGCCAGAGUCACUGACCAGUGGGUCCCACUGGUCAGGUUUGACUUUCAACGGCCAGUUGGACCUGCUGAUGCCAUGCUGAUGCAAUAAGCUUUUUUUGAUUUAAAAGAAUUCCAGAAAAUGCCCAAAACUUCUAAAAAUCAUAGAAAAUAAUCUGUAACUGCAAUGAAAAUAAUUUAUAUAUGAAAAAGUAUCAGAAAAAUCCAAGGAAUCUGAUUUUGAUAUGUUCAAACAUGUUUGAAAAUGUUAACUUCACCAAACAGAUUAAAUGAUGAUUAGGAUAACCUCAUUAAAUAAUUUGGAGUUGGAACUUGAAAUCCAUUUGAAUCCCACUUCAAAUAUUAUGACCAAACCAUGAUCAAGCACAACCAGCAACCUAACAUACCAUCAUCACGCAUGCCAAAACAAGAUUACCUAAGCAUCAGGCCGAAUCAAUUAAAAGGGUAUUUGAAAAUACCUUGUUUGAAGUGAUAUUUGAAUCUUGAUUCAAAUCAACUUCAACUUAAGAAAUGGUAGUCACAUUAGCCUACCACCUUUCAUUUUCAUGCCAUGCUCAUGCAUCAUCUUGUUGCAUAUGAUUGUUAUUGAUUGUUAUUGUUCUCACCGGUAGGCCCCGCUCCUCCAGAUUCCACCGAAUAUCCGACUGACAGAUAUUGUCCCUCUGCUGAGCAACAAGGCAAGCAACCAUUUUGAUCAUCCCGAUAAAUCCCAUGUUCUCGCUCCUGCUCUUCUUUCUUGCAUUAGGGCAAAUGCUUUCACUGCUUUUACUACGUUAGUUGAACCCACUUCCUUUGCAUGACAUGUCUUUGUCACAGUAAAUAGCUGAACCUUGCAACCUAGCAUACCUGGUAGAUGCUUGAGCCAUGAUGUGCCUUAUCCUGCUAUGCAUGCUAUGCUUAGAGUUGUGUAUGGUCUAUCAUCUGGGUGAUGAACAUAAUUGUGAGAAUGUGUUCAGUAAGUAAAGGUUGUGUGUUGAACCUGAUUUGGUAAAGGUACAAGUGAAAGGCUAUGUAGGAGUACAUGGCGGGUUGUUUCAUUGGAACCGUCCUUAGGAACUGAGUUUCGUGUAUGUAAUCCAAGACUAGAUACUACCACACGUUGGGAUAGUUAAUUGACCCUCUCGACUUAUUAAUUGCUUAGUACUCGGUCCAGGAGUUGCAAGUAGUUUCUGGUGUUUAUAGUCAUGCUGGAGGCCGUGCGUAGCGCUGACCUUAGAGGUGGGCUAUGAUGCGGUAGGCAGUGGCACGGUGUACCAAGUGGCACCCGGAUGGUGGGCUUGGGAACCGUGCGCACAUCAUUUGGGGCCGCGGCGGAAACCUCGACCGGACUUCCGUGCGGGUUACCCUGAGAUAGGCGAUAGACCUGGACUAAGUAUUAGCGUGGUUAACGGUCGUGGCCGACUCCCUCGCUGGGCUUCCGCUUGAAGGUUGCCGAGGUGCAUGACGUGCACAUGGCGAUAAGUGGCGAGAGCGUGUGUGAAGAAGUACACACCUGCAGGGUUAUGAUCUAUUCGAAUAGCCGCGUCCGCGGAUACGGACUACUUGGAGACAUAUGUUGUUCAUAAAUAACUUUAAUGGCUGCUCAUAAAAUUGUCAAGAUAAGCGUGAGUGUCGUGGACGGAAUUUCCGUAUGGAGACGGAAUGAUUCCACGAUGAAGUAUUGUUGUGGUGUUAGUGGACUCGUGUGCGAGAAAUCAAAGUUGUCAAAACUAAUUUAAAAAUGCAAGUUGUCUAGCCACGAGUCAAAUCCUGGCUUUCGGCAUGAAACCCCACAACUCCUUAUUGAUACAUUGCAUGAGUAGAUAGCUUAUCCUAAAGUCUUGCUGAAUACUUUUGUACUCAUGUUUGCUUAAUAAUUGUUGCAGAGGUUGUUAAUGACCCUAAUGGAGGGUUCUUCCUAGACAUCGACGACGACGAGUAGCUGGUAUCCCAGCUACGAUCUGGCCCUAUGAUGGGCGUGUAGAUAGGCAGGCCAUGUGCCCUUGUCUUUCCUUCUGUCUGUACUCAGACAGCUUUACUCUUCCGCUGGUUUGUAAGAAUUGUGUGUAUGACUUGUGAUGAUGGGUCGUGAGACCCCUACCUUGUAAUAUUAUGUGUGUGGCUCUUCCGAGCCUUCUAAAUAAAGUUUAUAUGUUUAUGGUUAUGUUGUGAUGCCAUCAAUGUAUCUAUACAUACCGGUAUGCCAUGCGUACGUGUGUUGUACUUGAUAUGUAUGGGGUUCGAUUACCUAGCCGUAGGCUUUAGUAGCAUUCCUUACAGGGAAAUGCCCCUUUGUGAUCCAACGAGCCAUGGUAGUUCGCUUCUACUCCGGACACAUUGGUUGACCGGCAUGUGUCCUUCUUAGCUGUUGUGUCUGUCCCCGUUGGGGAAAUGUCACGCGAUGUAAUGGAGUCCUUGUAGCUUGCUACGACUCGUCUACGUUCGCUGGUGACCGACACCUGCUUUGCCGGGUCAUGUAUGCAUGUCCGUGUGCGGAACUGCCGCUUUGGUUUAUGACUAGACAUGUCGAUCCGGGUUCUUUGUCAUUGGAUUACUAGCGACACAAUUGCAUACGUGAGUCAAAAGGCGCAAAUGGUCCCGGCUAAGGUAGGGCUGCCGCCGUGGGGAUAAUCGUGCGUGAGACUGCAAAGAGAUGCGAUGUGUUACAGGCUGGAUUCCGAUGGCUUAGGAUCGGGGUCCCGACACCUCUUUCCUAGGGUUUCUGUUCAGAAUGUGCUUUUUGAGCACAUCGCAAAGGUUUGACGUCCUUUGAGGCUUUUGUAUAUGCCUAUCACAUACAAUUCCUUCAACUGUGCAUUUUCGUCAGUGACAUUUAUGGUUUCCUCAAGUUGGGAAUUUGUGAUCAUUGAUACAUUUGAAGAAUUUGUAGCAAUAUAAGAAUUUGAACUUUUAGGUGAAGAAUUGGCAGAUUCACGUUCGAUGCAUUUUAUGGAUGGUGGUAUUAAUUCUUCCUGAGAGGUACUAAUUUGUUGAGCAAGCAAAGAAUCAUUUUCAGUUCAAAGAUCAUCAUGAUACACCCUUAGUUUCUCAAGAUCUUGCUUUCUAUGAAGAAAUUUAUAAGAAAGCUUCUCAUGAUCACCCUAGAGAGUUUCAUGAUGUUCGUGAAGACUAUCAAACUUGGACUAAAGAGUUUGAACAUCAUCAGUCCGGGUUUGAGUCCGAUAUAUUUCCUCGUUCAAAAAGUCAGGACUUUUGUCUUACAGUUUUUGAAGCUUUUCAAGAGCAUUUUGUUGCGUAGUGUUGAUGUCUACACACGCUUCUAUGCUUGUAGACUAUGUUGGGCCUCCAAGUGCAGAGGUUUGUAGGACAACAUCAAUUUCCCUCAAGUGGAUGACCUAAGGUUUAUCGAACUCUUGGAAGUAGAGGUUGAAGAUGGUCUCUCUCAGGCAACCCUGCAAUUAAGAAACAAGAAGUCUCUUGUGUCCCUAACACAUCUAAUACAAUGGUAAAUUGUAUAGGUGCACUAGUUCAAUGAUGAGAUGGUAAAAUAUGGGUGAUAGGUGUGGCAAAGAAAGGUAAUAUAAAUCUGUAAUAAAAAUUACAGCAAGGUAGCAAGUGACAAAAGUGAGCAUAAAUGGUAUAACAUUGGUGAGAAACAAGGCCUAGGCGUCAUACUUUCACAAGUGGCAACUCCCAACAACAUUAACAUAGUCUAAUCACAUGAUAUUUCCACUAAAACAUGCAAUGGUGACGUACUCAAAGGUCAUUCCUUUGUGAUCAAGAGAGGACGAGAAUUAUGUAGGGCUACAAAAGUACACCUCAGAGUUCGUAGUUCUCAUCUAUGGAUUUCCCAAUGUCACCGCAGCCAUCCAAAGAUAGUACCACAAUCACCACAACACAUUUCAAGGAUAGUCAAAGACAAGCACCCAGAGACUCUCAAUCUUCAAUCAAUUCACAAAAUAGGAAAUCACUCAUGAAAAUAUUGUUCUAAUCCAUGUCCAAUAGACCACUGUCACCAUGGUCUCGGGGAGUAUACUAGAUAAGAUCAAGUGAGUACAUCAAUACAAUACAUAGAAGAAGGGGAAACAUCAUGGGAUGACCCUAGGUUAACAUAGCCUAUGAUCACAAUCAAGAUCACAUCAUGGUAGAGAGAAUUAACCACAUAGCUACUGUAGAAGACCUCAACGUCGAGGAGGAACUACUCCCGCUUCAUGGAGGGAGGAAGUAACGUCGAUGGAGAUGAAUACGAGGGCACUUCCCCAUCCUGGCAGGGUGCCGACACAGGAAUUCUGGUCCCUCGAAACUUGUUGGCGAUGGCGGCAGAGAUCGGAAUUGCUUCUGGAGAAAAGGGUUCCGGAAUGAGGGUUUCCUCCAUGGGGGUCAAAAUAGGAGCCAAGGUAGGGCACCAGAGGGAGUGGGCCCCACCCAGGCAGUCUCCCUGCGCGGCCAGGGGGCAGGCCGCGCCACCAGGGCGCCUAUGGGCCUGGUGACCCCCUCAGGUCCUCCUUCGGCUGUCUGGAGUCUUCUGGAAUGUUGAUUUUUAUACAUUUUUGUGGAAUUUUUCGGGCAGUGUAAAUAUGUGUAUAAACCUGCAAUUCACAAACAUCGACAGACAGAAACUAGCACUGGGCGCACUGAGUUAGUAGGUUAGUCCAAGUAUGUUGAAAAAGGUAUGAAAAGUUACAAAACACAUAGCAAUAUCACCCAAAACUUGCAUGGAGCAAGCAGAAAUUAGAGAUACGUUUGGGACGUAUCAACAUCCCUAAGCUUAAUUCCUGCUCGUCCUCGAGUAGGUAAAUGAUAACAUGCAUAAUUUCUAUGGUGACAUUCUAACAGACAUAUAAGAACUCAAAAGUAAAGCAAGUAAGAUAAGCAAUUCAAGUCAAGACAAUAACAAGCAAGAGUCUAUAUCUACUAUUGAAACUAGCAAAGUAAGAACAUAACGGUGCAAGAGCUCGCGCUGUCCGUUACUCGAAUGUCUCCAAAUGGUUUUUGCGUGCAAGAAGUGGGAGCUGGUUUUACACCAUAAAAAAUAUAUAGUUUAAUUGAGAACCGAGUCUACUGAAACUUCACAUUUUGUCUCCUUCGGAAUCUUAUCCCGAGACCACUAGUCAGGCACAAGUCAAAAUGAUCCUCCCCCUUUCGACUUUGAGCACUCAUGAAAUGGAUGAGCACGAGCAAGAUAUAUUGGCCCUUAGGAUGGCAAAGAGAAUAAUGAUGGGGAAGGAAGAAAAAAAAUGUGUGAAAGGCUCACAUCAAUGGGGACAAUCAUAGGCGAGAGAAAGCCAAACGAUAGAUAUGAUGUGAGGAGUAGGGAUUGCCAUGCAACGGAUGCACAUAUGAUCUAAGGUAAGCUCUCCAAUGGAACUAGUGGGGGUGCAUCCAACUUGCUUGCUCAUGAAGACCUACAUCUCAUUUGAGGAGGCUCAUAAUUGGAAUAUACAAGCCAAGUUCUAUAGUGUAUGGGUCCCCGCAUAGUUAUGCAUGAAUGAUAAUCUCUAUGGAGUACAAAAAUGAUAAUGGAGUACGAGUGUGGAUCUUUCGAAUGGAAUUGUAGUGUUUCCCCUUCCUCUCUUUUUUCUUUUUUUUUCUUUUUUUGUAUUUUUGUGGCCUCUUUGGCUCUUUCUAUUUUUCUCUCAUUUUUCCUCUUUGGGAUCUUUUAAUUUGUCCUCUUUUGGGAUCUUUUGUUUUGACCUCUUUGGGAUCUUUUCCUCACUUAAGGGCAACACUCUAUAUUUUACAAGAAUAUAGAAGAUCUUCACACAUUAUAAGAAGUACUCAACAUAAAGAAAGAUGGAAACUAUCAUGAUGUAUGCAAAUGUAUGCCUCUGCUAGUGUAGCAUGAUAUGCAAUUAAUGAUACUAGCGCGUCAUGUAGCAAUGAUAAGGGCAAGGCCUGAUAACCCACAAGUAUAGGGGAUCAAUUGUAGCCUUUCUCGAUAAGUAAGAGUGUUGAACCCAACGAGGAGCUAAAGGUAGGACAAAUAUUCCCUCAAGUUCUAUCGACCACCGAUACAACUCUAAGCACACUUUAUGUUCGCUUUACCUAGAACAAGUAUGAAACUAGAAGUACUUUGUAGGAGUGAUAGGAUAGGCUUGCAAGAAAGUAAAGAACACGUAAAUAAAACUAGGGGAUGGUUAUACAAAGAAACAACUACGAGUGUCUAACGACUGUGGAAAAGUGGUGGUAGGAGUUGCGGAAUUGUCCCUAAGCAAUUGACUACAUUACUAGAUCGAUAGCAAGUAUCAUGUGGGAGAGGCCUCUCCUAGCAUGUCAUCCCUUACUUGGAAUUCUAUGCACUUAUGAUUAGAACUAUUAGCAAGCGUCUGCAACUACUAACGUUCAUUAAGGUAUAACCCUACCAUAGCAAUAAGAUAUAUUGGUCCCCUUCAAUCCCAUAUGCAUCAAUUUCUAUGCUUGAUUUGAAGCUUCUGUCACUCUAGCCUGCAAAUACAUAGUCCUAUCAACAUACAACUAACCCUAUGGUGUGAUCCACGCGCGCGAUCAUAUGCUGGGCACCAAAGGACAGCAACAUAACCACAUGCAAAUUAAACUAAUCAUAGCAAUUCAUCAAUCACCGAUAGGACAACGAUAAUCUACUCAGACAUCAUAGGAUAGCAACACAUCAUUGGAUUAUAAUAUGUAGCAUAAAGCACCAUGUUCAAGUAGAGGGUACAGCAGGUUGCGGGAGAGUGAACCGCUGAAUAUAGAUGGGGGAAGAUGAUGGAGAUGUUGGUGAAGAUGACGGAGGUGUUGGUGUACAUCGCCGUCACACGAUGAUGUCCCGGGCGGCGUUCCGGCGCCGCCGGGAGAGAGGGGGAGAGAGCCCCCCUCCUUCUUCUUCUUCCUUGACCUCCUCCCUAGAUGGGAGAAGGGUUUCCCCUCUGGUCCAUGGUCUCCAUGGCGGCGGAGGGGCGAGAGCCCCUCCGAGAUUGGAUCUCUCUCUCUCUGUGUCCUUCUGUGUCUGCGCUCCUAGAUUCUGCGUUUCACCAUUUGUUAAAUUCCCGAAGAUCCGUAACUCCAAUUGGGCUGAAAUUUUAACACGAUUUUCUUCCAGAUAUUAUCUUUCUUGCGGCGAAAGAAGGGCACAAGCCUGCCAGCCGCAGGCCCACCCCCUGGUUGUGGCUGGUGGGCUUGUGGGCACUCCGUGCACCGUCUCGCGUUGAUUCUUCUUCCCAAAAAUCAUAAAUGUUGCAAAAAAAAUGCCCGUAAAUUUUUAUUGCGUUUGGAAUUUGUUUGGUAUGGACAUUCUGUGAAACAAAAAACAUGCAACAAACAGGAACUGACACUGGGCACUGGAUCAAUAUGUUAGUCCCAAAAAUAGUAUAAAAAGUUGUCAAAAGUAUAUGAAAGUUGUAGAAUAUUGGCAUGAAACAAUCAAAAAUUAUAGAUACGACGGAGACGUAUCAGCAUCCCCAAGCUUAAUUCCUGCUCGUCCUCGAGUAGUUAAAUGAUAAAAAAGAUAAUUUUGAUGUGGAAUGCUACCUAGCAUAAUCUUGAUCAUAUAAUCUAAUCAUGGAAUGAAUAGUAAAACACGAGUGAUUCGAAGCAAUAGUCUAUCAUUUGACAUAAAGACAAUAAUAUUUCAAGCAUACUAACAAAGCAACCAUGUCUUCUCAAAAUAUCAUGGCCAAAGAAAGUUAUCCCUACAAAAUCAUAUAGUCUGACUAUGCUCCAUCUUCCCCACACAACGUAUUUAAAUCAUGCACAACCCCGGUUUUAGCCAAGCAAUUGUUUCAUACUUUAGUGUUCUCAAACCUUUUCAACUUUCAUGCAAUACAUGAGCGUGAGCCAUGGACAUAGCACUAUAGGUGGAAUAGAAUAUGGUGGUCAUGGAGAAGACAAAAAAAAGGAGGAGAUAGUCUCACAUGAACUAGGCGUAUCAACGGGCUAUGGAGAUGCCCAUCAAUAGAUAUAAAUGUAUGAAAGCUCACAAAAGAAACUAGUGGGUGUGCACCCAACUUGCUUGCUCACGAAGACCUAGGGCAAUUUUGAGGAAGCCCAUCAUUGGAAUAUACAUGCCAAGCUAUAUAAUGAAAAUUUCCCACUAGUAUAUGGAAGUGACAACAUAGGAGACUCUCUGUCAUGAAGAUCAUAGUGCUACUUCAAGCACAAGUGUGGAAAUAGGAUAGUAGCAAUUGUCCCUUCUCUCUUUUCUCUCAUUUUUUUUGUGGGCUCUUUGGCCUCUUUUUUUAUUUUUAUAUAUUUUUUUAUUUUGGUGGGCAUCUUUGGCCUCUUUUUUGUAAAUGGGCUUCGGUGGCCUCUUUUAUUUCCUCACAUGGGACAGUGCUCUAUUAAUAAUGAUCAUCACACUUACAACUCAAUGCUUAGAGCAAUGAUGACUCUAUAUGAAAUGCCUUCGGUAGUGUACCAUGACAAUGAUCUAGCAUAACAAUGACAUAAAAAAACGGACAAGCCAUGGAAACAUCAUGCUAGCUAUCUUACGAUCAUGCAAUGGCAAUAUGGAAGUGGUGGCACAUGUCAUGAGACGGAACGGUGGUAGUUGCAUGGCAAUAUAUCUUGGAAUGGCUAUGAAAAUGCCAUAAUAGGUAGGUAUGGUGGCUGUUUUGAGGGUGGCUAUAUGUUGGGUGUAAUGCACCGGCGAAAGUUGCGCGGUACUAAAGAGGCUAGCUAUGGUGGAAGGGUGAGAGUGCGUAUAAUCCAUGGACUCAACAUUAGUCAUAAAGAACUCACAUACUUAUUGCAAAAGUCUACUAGUCAUCGAAACAAGGUACUACACGCAUGCUCCUAGGGGAAAGGUUGGUAGGAGUUAACCAUCGCGCGAUCCCGACCUCCACACAAAGGAUGACAAUCACUAAAUAAAUCAUGCUCCGACUUCAUCACAUAACGGUUCACCAUACAUGCAUGCUACGGGAAUAACAAACCUUAACACAAGUAUUUCUAAAAAUACACAAUUACUCACUAGCAUGACUCUAAUAUCACAUAUUCAUGUCGCAAAACUGUUGCAAGGAAUCAAACAUAUCAUAAUCAGUGAUCUGCAAGUUUUAUGUAGGAUUUUAUGACUAACCAUGUGAAUGAACAACUCAUGUUAACUCUCUAAAUAGGUAUAAGUGAAGCAUGAGAGUUUAAUUAUUUCUACAAAAGAUAUGCCCCGCUAUAACAAAUAUAAGUGAAGCAAAAGAGCAUUCUACAAAUGGCGGUUUUCUGUGUGUAGGGAAACAGGCAAUCCAAACUUCAAAAGAUAUAAGUGAAGCACAAGAAGCAUUCUAUAAAGCCAACCAAGGACUAUCUCAUACCAGCAUGGUGCAUAAAAGAAAAAGGAAAAAUAAACACAAAAGACACUCCAAGCAUUUGCACAUAUCAUGUGACGAAUUAAAAUAUAGCUCCGAGUAAAAUUACCGAUAGAUUGUAGACGAAAGAGGGGACGCCUUCUGGGGCAUCCCCAAGCUUAGGCUCUUGCCUCUCCUUAUUCCUUCAUCCAUCAUGCUCUCACCCAAAACUUGAAAACUUCAAUCACACAAAACUCAACAAAACUUCGUGAGAUCCGUUAGUACAAUAAAAUAAAUCACCACUUCAAGUACUGUUGUGAACUCAUUCUAAAUUCAUAUUAGCAUUAUAUCUACUGUAAUCCAACUUCACCAUGGUUCAUACCCCCCGAUACUACCCAUAGAUUCAUCAAAAUAAGAAAACAAUGCAUAGAAAACAGAAUCUGUCAAAACAGAACAGUCUGUAGCAAUCUGUAUAUUCCGUAUACUUCUGAUAUCUCAAAAAAUCUGAAAACUUAAGAACGUUUGGAAAAUUUGCAUACCAAUCAGCAGAAAAAAGAAUCAACUCAAAAUAUCUUCCAUAAUAAAAACUACAAUUAAUUUCGUGAGCAGAAAGUUUCUGUCUUUUCUCAGCGUGAUCAAACAACUAUUACCCAAACUAAUCUUAAAGGCUUUACUUGGCACAUUAUUUUUAAAAACACAAAGGAAUUGUACAAGGGGAUAAUUAUUUUUGUGAGAAACUUCCAUGAAAAAUUCUACAUUGUUUCCAUGAGCAUGAACACAAGUGUUCAAGGUCGACCCUCCCUUCCGCAAUGCAUCACCUUUCAAUCGCUUCUCUUUUUGAAAAAGUUUUAAGUUCCCCUCUAUAUUUUUGUUGUUUUUAAACUAAAUAAAAGCACUCAACAGAAAUAAAUGACUCUCUAAAACUUCCGGGUUGUCUCCUAGGCAGCGCUUUCUUUAAAGCCAUUAAGCUAGGCAUAAAGUGCUCAAGUAAUGGAUCCACCCGGAUCCCAAGGUAUAUCAAAGCCAAUUUUAAUUAGCAAUGAUUCGAAAUUUAGUAGUGAGCACAAGGUAACAUAUAUCAAGCAAUGACCAAGUAUAACUCUCUUCCUAUGCAUUGGCAUAUCAUAAAAUAACAAUUCAUGCACACCAAGUAAAGGCCAAUACAUAGCAUAAGCAGUUUCUUGCAAUUUUAUCGUAUUGGAAACAUAGAGAGCUGGAGAUGUAGUUCCUCUCUCAUAAUAAUUGCAAGUAGGAGCAGCAAGCACAUGCAUAUUAUAUUCAUCAAAAUCAUCAUGUGUAACAUAAGGAACUAUAUCUAGUUCAUCUUCAUAAGCAUCAUUCAUAUUGCCAUCAUGGCCACAAGCAUAGCAAGGAUCAAGUUCAUCAAAAAGGGAUAUUUCAAAAGAAUCCAAGGGAUCAUAGCAUUCAUUCUUCGGUAAGAAUGAAGGUAAAUUAAAUAAUGUAUGAGUAGAAGAGUUACUCUCAUUAUAAGGUGGACACGGGUAGCUAGUCCGCUCUUCCUCCUUUUGUUCUUCGCUCUCCUCUUCAUCUUUUUCAUCUAAUGAGCUCACAAUUUCAGCACUUUCUUCUUCCAUAGUUUCAUGCAAAAUAAUAGUCUCUUCUUGGCAGCAUAGAAUUUCUCCUUAAAUCUUUCAAUAUGGGCAUUAUAUUCAUAAUUAGUAUAACAAUAACGAAGCAUAGCCAAAUUUUCCGAUCGGUAAGGAGCAUCAUCAUUAUCAUCACAACCUUUAAACACAGCCUCAAUUUCAUAAGCACCCAUAAAAGCAACAAACUCUUCUAUUUUCUUCACAUCAUAGUAAUCAUAUAUACCAUUAGCAUAAGAAGCCAAGGUUCUAUGAUCAUUAAAUUCACAAGAAAAGGAAAGGUGUGGAGCCUUCAUGCUAGAGCAACAAGUAACACCAUAUCUCUUGCAUCGUUCCCAAGCAUACCAUUUCAACAAAUGGAUUUGAUCCCAUAAAAGUUUCCCAUUUUGAGUCAAGCGAUAAUCGCUAAAGUAUUCACGUUGAUCGAACGUAUAUCCCAUUAUCUCUACUAUUAAAGGGGGAUCUGCAGUCUGUCAUGAUGGUUCGACCACGACAGAUCCCCUCGUUAGCACUUCCACCGUUAAUAGUUCCAUCGAUUUUUUUCAUCCCUCCAAAAACCAAUCAAUUAAAUAUAAAAAAAACCGGUUCACAACCUCCCCUGCAAUCACCACCUCCCCUUCGCAGGCAUAAUAGAAAGAAAAAAGAAAAGCCACGAUAUAAAGAAAACGGCCACGAUCAGGAACCCACCUCCCACGCCCAACCCCCUCGCUCCUCCCAAUCCCAUAUCUCUCCGAAGAAAAAUUGCCACCGUCGUCCCUCGUGAUAGCCACUCCCAGAUCUCCCCUCGGAGCUUGAUCUCGGUCCUCCUCCGCCAUGCGCCCGCCUCCUCCCACGACUGUGGCGCGAGGUUCUCCUCCUCCUCGCUCACAAUCCACAUGCCCGCCGCGCCGGCAUAGGCGCCGACGCCGAUGACUCCGGCGGCCGGCGCCCACCCUCCUAUAGAAGAAUAUAAAAGGCCAAAACAGAGGUACGAACCCUAUAGAAGAAUUCCCCCACUCAUGUGUAAGCGGCGGCGCCAUCCUCGAUCGCGGUAGAUGUGCUCGCGCUUCCUUCUCGUCCUGGAUCCCAUUCUCCUCACGCCUGACGUACUCACUUUUUCCAUGGCGUGGCGCACUAGCUGUUGGAUGGGGCGCAGGUGCGCUUGUCCGGACGGACGGAGCUGAAUCGAAUCAUGCAGCAGGUGCGGCUACGAGCUGCGCGAGACUUGGACAGUAUUUGAUUCGUUUCUGUAUAAGCAGUAGAUGGAUCGUUGCUGUUCAACUUGGUCCUGCUGCGUACUUGUUGCUGCACGCUGAAUCGAAUCAUGCAGCAGGUGCGGCUGCGGGCUGCGCGAGACUUGGACAGUAUUUGAUCCGUUUCUGUAUAAGCAAUAGAUGAAUCAUUGUUGUUCAACUUGGUCCUGCUGCGUUCUUGUUGCUGCACUAUUUUAAUAUUUUUGGGACAUUUUCGUUCAAAAUUCGCUCACUUUUCGUUCAGGAAUUCAAAAUCUGGAUGGUGCUUUCCGUCCGGAAUUUUCUGAUUUUUUCCGAAAAGCCGAAUUUCGCCAAUUUCGUUCUGGGGCGGUAUAUUUUCCAUAACGAAAUCCAAAAGCCUGUCCGGCACCCACCCUCCUACCACUCGAGCACCGCCCAUGCAUAGACGCUGCCAUCAGCCGCGUCAUCGAGGUCGAUUCCCUGGACCAACCCUUGCCCUCGUUUGCAUCGGUGGCUCCGCCAGUCUCGAUGGGAUCAUUUACUCGAUCUCGAUCAUCGGGCUCUUCUCCGACGAGUACGGCAGUGGUGCCUCGUCCGAGUCUUUGGUCGACGCCAUCCUGCCUCCUCUCUCUGUGUUGGCGCCCAUGCCGUACUCCGAAUGUUCUUCAACUAAAGCAACUGAUUGCCACCCCCUCUGGCAGCGAAGGUUGUCAUCCCCUCUGUCUCUCAUUUUUUUACAUCCUUGUCAUAAUGCUGCCGUGUGUUGCUAUUGUUUCAUUAAUGAAGUGACAUGAUGUUGUUGUAUGAAUAAAAGUGAGCUGCUGAUUUUUGAAUAAAACUGACUUGUUUGUAGAUUCUUCUAUGGGCAGAAGAAAGAUCGAAUUGACCUUGUGCUUUGACGGUGGUAUGGAUAUCGAUGGCCGUCCGUCACCAAUCAAAGGAGGGUGAUGUCAUACAUUGUGUAGAUGGGGUACUCGGCUGACAACAAGCUCCAAGGCAAGAGGGUGGCAACCGACAAGCAGAGUCUCCGUGUUGAGGAGGUCAUCCUACUCCCUGUACAUUCCUGGCCUCGCGAGAACGUGCACUGGUUUGAUUUGGUCCAAUUCAGUUUGAUUCAAUAGUUGUGGUAGUGCUGAAUUGUCAGAUUCAACAUUUGUUUGCCAAGUCUUUACUUCAGUGAAAUCACUCAGAUAGAAGUAGGAGAGGAAGAAAAAGAACGUCAUUAUAUUCAGGUCCAGUGGUAAAUGCUUACAUAUGUUCUUGAUCCCCACACACAACUUGCUUUUAUUAGUACUUUUCUUGUUGGUGGAACAUAACUAGAGAAAAUAUUUGUGUGGUUUUAGCAUGUUCUGAUUAUGAAAAAUCAGAAUUCGAUACCCAUCUUUUAUUUGUCGUUCAUGUUUCGACGCUACAACUUGCUUUUAUUAGUAUUUUUUUUGUUGGUGGAACAUAACUAGAGCAAAUAUUGUGUGUGGUUUUAGCAUGUUCUGAUUAUGAAAAAUCAGAAUUUGGUACCCAUCUUUUAUUUGUCGUUCGUGUCUCAACGCUCAUAUUGCAUGGUUCAGCGACUGGUUCGACAUUACAGAAAUAAGUUGGAGAAAUUCCUUUUCAUACAUAAUAGCAUCAGUUAAAACAGUCGAAGCCAACAAAAAAAAUUCUGGUCAUGUAUGCGUCGAAUGUUAAUAUUUGCUACAUCAUUUUUGGAAGUAGCCAACCCUACAAAAUUAAGAUCAUGACAUGCAUAAGUAUAAUUGGUUAUGUGGAGAAAAAUUAUAGUCCAAAACUAUAUUAUGCACAUGCAGAAAUUGCAUUACAUAACACAAUAAAUCGCAUGCAAUCCUGACAAGACAAUGGUUUUUCUUUGUUGCCGCAAUAUCAUGACAUAAUUUUUAUUUAUUUAUACCUUUUAUAUGUGGAUAAUAGGAUAGUGUAUAUUGUCAUUAAUGUUCCUUAUCAAGGACUGCUUCGUUUCAUAUUUGAAAAAAUUCAUGUCGAAUCAAAAGAAUCACAUGUCCCCGUUGCAACGCAUGGGAAAUUAACUAGUAUAAUUGAAUGGGGCUUUCUCAGGAUUAUUAAAGAAGUGCAUAAUAUUUUCCACAUAACGAGCCUCGAGGGUUUUAGGAGGUUCCCCAUCUCCAUGAGUAGGAAGUACACCUAAUUUUUUUUGGUAUUUCGUGUUGCAUAUCCAUAACUAAAGAUAGAGAACAAGUUAGAACAGCAAAUAAAUCUACUUAGUGAUAAAGCAAACAGGCACACACGAGGAUAUUCACCCCACGCUAUUGCUCCCCGGCAACGGCGCCAUAAAAAGGUCUUGAUAACCCACAAGUAUAGGGGAUCAAUUGUAGCCUUUCUCGAUAAGUAAGAGUGUCGAACCCAACGAGGAGCUAAAGGUAGGACAAAUAUUCCCUCAAGUUCUAUCGACCACCGAUACAACUCUAC